rnacentral:lncRNA from 1 species
CAGCUGUGAAUUAAAAAUAAAAACGACUCUCCUAAUCUUUGGGAAUUUUAUUUUUAAGGAUAAUCUCUUUGGGAUUAUUUCUCUAGCUGUUUCCUUUCGAGAACAAAUCUUUGUGUACACAGUAAGCAAACCCUAGAAUCAUCAUCAUCAUAAUAUUAAUAUAUUACUAAUUAAUAAUAUAUCAAUGACCCACCACCACAACACAAUAACACCCUUUUCCCACUAACAUCAAUAUUUGUACACCCUAACCUAACCUAUACUUUCCCGACCUUAUAUAUACAACCCUUCUCAUAUCCUCUUCAUCAUUCCUUUUUUGUUGUUAUGUAUUUUGUUUUCCAUCUAUCAUGAGCAAUAUCCCAAAAUCUCUCACCGACUCUUCCUUAACUCUCUUCAAUCUCACCAUAUCAUCUUCUGAUCCUUGGCCUUUCUCUUUUGUUUUCUUAUAACAAAAAACCUCCCAAAACCAAUUAAUCAUUGUUUAACCACUACUUGAAGUACAUUCAAUACACUUCUUGUUGUUGUUUCCUUCAACUUUGUGGGUUUGUUAUUCUUGUUAAUUAUGGGGAUUAGUAGUAAUCAUCAUAACCAUCACUUGAGUUUUCAUUUGCACAUUCCUCACCUCAAUUUUCAUCACCACCAUGAAAAGAAUAAGGACAUUCCAAAAGGGUGUUUGGCCGUGAUGGUGGGACAAGGAGAAGAGCAACAAAAGUUUGUGAUCCCGGUCAUUUACAUAAACCAUCCAUUGUUUAUGCAAUUGUUGAAAGAAGCUGAAGAAGAAUAUGGAUUCGAUCACAAAGGACCAAUCAUCAUUCCCUGCCAGGUCGAAGAGUUUCGUACCGUCCAAGGAAUGAUUGAUAUGGAGAAAUCUCACCACCAUCAUCAUGCUUGGUGUUUUAAAGUUUGAUUCAAUAUUAUUAUUACUACUAGCUUGAGCAAAUCAUUAUGUAUGCAUGAAACUUUUAUGUGUAUUUUUCUCUGAAUUUUCUCGUGUUGAUAUCUUUUAAGUAACAAAAAUGUUGGAUCUUAAUUUGUAGAGUUAUUUUUUCCUAUAAUUGUGUGAUAUCAAUGGGAAAAAUCGAAUGAGAAUCAUAUUGUGGUGUGAAUAAUAUUGUGUUUAUUUUACCAUGAAAAACAAUUAUGUGUAUGUAUAUCCUCAAACCUCUAUUUUACGCAAGCAUUCUCAAUCAAAUUCAAUAAUAAUGAUGUGUGUAGUGUGUGUAUCCAUCUGUUUGCAAUUUCAAUCUUAUGAUUGUAUAAAAAACUUGAGUCUUACAUUCCAAAAAAUAAAAAUCCAAUCUUAUAUGAUGAAUGUGAACACUUUAAAGUAAAUAGAGGUUCUUAAUUAAAAAAAAAAAAAAGGUGAUAGCUGUUGGAAGUUCCUAGCGUGAAAGACACGGUUGGAAUUUGGAAUAAAGAUAAAGAUAAACUUUAUUUUUCAUUCGUUUUUGCCCUUUUAGUUUGGCCCUACGCAAAAGAAAUAUCAACUUUAAGAAAUCUAAUAUAUGCAUAUAUUAUUAUUACAUACAAUAACCGCAUUAAGGAGGACUUGGACGUACGAAAGGGUUUUUGGCCUUUGUUUUUCAGCAAUUAUAUAUAUUCCGUUUAAUUAAUUUUUUCUAUAUGUAAUAAGGUAUAGUUGCUUUGCCUUUGGUUUCUUAAUGGUGGGGUUUUAUUAUGAUUAUGAUGAUAAGGAAUAUGUAGCAACUAGGAAGUUUGGUGGGAUAGUUGUGGUUCAACAUACUUGGCGUGUAUGCGUCGACUCAUUGAGUCAUUACAUUUGUCCUCUAUAUUGUUUAGCAAUUUAUAUAUAUUUUUAUUUUGAUAUAAAUAUCAAGCAUAUUUUUGUUGACAAAGUUUAACCAAUUUAUAUAUUCAUCAUCAUUACGUCAACAACCACAUUGGGUAAUCACAUUUUCCUCCGAAUAUGGGCGAUCUUGACUUUGAAAAAAAAAUAAAAAAAUCUAAACCAAUCACUAUGUUAGGAAAUGCUAAUCUUACAAAAUACUCGUUUUUUGAGGUUGUUGGCUGUCAUCAGUUGAUUUUUUUUUAAGAAAAAAUCAUAUAGAUGUCAGUUAUUUUGUACUAGUAUAAUUAUAUGUUAUUUGAGGGAAGAUUAGUUCUGAAAAUUUGGAAUUCGUUUAAAGUACAUAAAGUUUGGCUAAUGAUUAUUUUAGGGAUCAAACUCAAGCUCAAUAUUUUCGAUCAUUAUUAAUACAACUUUUUUAUAUCAAAAUUAACCUUCAUUUUGAUAUCUAAAUUAUCGGUAUAUCUUCUAUUUGAUCAUUAAACUAUAAAAAUGAUUCAUAGUUUUCUUUUUAAAUCUAUCAAGUUUGUCUUUGAAUUAUGAUUCUCUCUCCUAUUUAAAAAGUAGUUGUAACCUAACUUGACUAGGAAGCCAAAGUUAUAGACCAAAUAAAAUGUUUAAUAGUUAAGUUAUAGAUCAAAUAAAAUGUUUAAUAGUUCUUGAUUUGUGAAAAGAAUAAAGGAUCGUCUCUGGAAUUUGGUUUUGAUUUUCGUCCCUGUAAAAAAAAAAAAUUUGAAAUACAUCCCUGUAAAAAAAAAAAUUGUUUGAAAAAGGUCUCUGGUCCUACUAUUCAGCUAAUUUGGUAUGGUUUUGGCCACGUGGCAGUUGGUGACUGUGCAACUUUUGCCACGUGGCGUGCCACAUAAUAUUACAUUUAAAAAAAAUUAUCUAAAAAUUGUUUUUAAAAUUAAAAACAAUUUAAAAUACUGAAAAUAAAUUUUAAAAUAUUAAAAUAAUUUUCUGAUUUAUUUUUUUGUAUAAUUUUCAAAAUAAUAUAUAUUAUUAAAUUUUUGAAAUUUUUUUUUUAAAUUAAAAUUUUCGUAAAAGAACAAGAAAUUAGAAAAAAAAAAUUAUAAUUAUAAUUUAUUUUCAAAAAUUUUAAAUUUAUAACUUUUGAAAAUAUAAUUGUCAUUAUUUUUGAAAAAAUUUUAAUAUAUAAUUUUCAAAUUAAAAAAAUCUAUUUUUCAAAAAUUUAAUUUCACAUUUUUUUUUCAAAUUUUAAUUUUAAUAGUUUUUAUGUCAAAAAAUUAAGUUUUCGAAGUUUUUUUUCAGAUUUUUUAAAUUAAAAAAAUAAAUUUUCAGAAUUUUAUUUUUAGUUUUUUUUAAUUACGUGGAUUGACACGUGGCGAAUAACAUGCCAAAUCAGACAUGAAGUGGGAUCAGAGACCUUUUUCAAAUAAAAUAAAUUUACAUAAAUGUAUUUCAAAAUUUUUUUUUACAUGAACGAAAAUUAAAACUGGUCCAAAUUAUAGGGACGAUUAUCAUAUUUAAGCUGCGAAUAAAUAAGUAAGUAUCUAUGAGAAACUAUUAUUAAAUAAUGCUUGUGUUGAGAGAGUCUUCAUAUUCAUACAUACAUUGUUGUCCAAAUUCCUUCCUUCCAAUAUGAAUCGUGCCUUCACUAAACAGCAGCUUUUUACUUGUUUCGGCAGUCAAUCCAGCCUUGAACAACUAAUCCGGCAUGUUCUGCAAAUCAUAUUAUUUUAUUAAUCUCAACGUAACGUAUUUGUCAUCAAAAUUCAAAACUCAUACCCAUUCAAACUUUAUAAAAUAUUGAUGACAAAGUUGAGCUGAAUUGGUAUUUAUUUUAACUUCCCAUUAUUUGUCAUUCAACGCGCUACUUUUGGGACAAAUACAAUGUCAAUACUUACUUAUUCCUCUCUUUAUACACAGAAAACAAAUCAUUAUUAUUCUUUUGACAGAACAUAGAAAACAAGUGUUAUUUGAUAGAUUCUUCGAUAUAAAUACAUGUCAACUAACUUCAAUAUAUUUACGUUACUCUUCAACAAAAAAAACCUUUAAUCCUUGAAUUGAUGUUCCAAUGAACCAAAUUCUUAUAUAAAAGUAAAUAAUGACAAAUGAUAAUUUAGAAAACACUUGCUAUUAUAUUUAGAAAAAUAAAUUAUGUUCACUAAAUUUUUUAAUUAGUGUAGAAUUGAUUCUUUUGGUUAAAAUAGUACUUCAUCUAUCCCACAAAUAAUCAACUUAUUUUCAAAUAAAAUUUAUCCCAAAAUGAUUAGAGUACUUUUGUAAAACGUACUAUUCAAUUUUUUUCUUAUAUCUCCCCAAGAAAAUUUGAAGGCUAAUUUGUUCAGGUAAAUGAAAUACAUUUAAAGAAUUGACAUCUUCCAACAUAAAUUUUUUCACAUGCACCGCCUAUGAAUCGAGUAUUUGAUCAAAUGAUCAAGGAACCCAACUGUAUCGGACGAAUGGAAUAUUAGUCCAAGAGAAGUAAGCAUUAAGCAAUCAAGUAAAUUGAUUACUCUCAUUUUUUAUCAUAGGUUUCCUCCAGUAAAUUGACACUUUAUUUUGAUAACUCUUCUAGCCAUUAUUCGGAUAUUGAUUUGUCCUGUUGUGAGUAUGUAUCUCUUUCCGCGAGAACGAAUCGUCGUUGAUAAAUUUUGCUUAUACAAAAAAAGGUAAACCGUUUAUGAACAUAAUACAAGCGCGUCUAUAUUUCAUUUUGGUUUUUGACCAGUGCCACAAAGAAUAAUGUGUAUCCUUUCAAACAAGGAUCUAGACCAAACACACGUUAACAUUGCUCAUGGCCCAUGUUAAUUGCCGCAUUUCUCUGCCUCAAUAUUCUUGUGAAACAAAACAAAGUGCGACAUUUUCUGGCGUAUGAUAAAGUUUUGACCCAAAUAGUAGAAGUAUCUUUAAUCUUCACACGAAAUCUUACAAGAAAGCAAGUUGCAUUUGUGCUCACAAGGAAAAUGGGAGAAUUUUUACUUUGCACCACAAGUCACAUGAGGAACAAAAACAAUAUGCUAGCUACCUAUACUUUUCCAUGAUACAAUCUCCAACGUCCCUAUAAAAAAAUUGCUUAGACCCUCUGUACCAUUUCCCUUUCAAUUCAAAUUCAAAAAGAAAAAUGUUUCAAUUCAAAUUUAAAAAGAAAAGGACACAAACUAAUUUCAAUUUCAAUAAGUAUAACAAUAAAAUCUCCUUUUAAUCGUCAUAGCUAUCUGUGUCUUGUAUUUGAACGAAUUGUGACACCAUGCAAAUACUUUGUAUAUCCGACCAAGCUGAGUUUUCCAUCAGAUUUUCUGAUCCAAUCACCCAUUAGAGAGUAAGCAGAAGGACCCAAAUUCAUCUCCUGAAAAAACACAAUAUCUCGACGUGUUAAGUAGGUUAUUUUAUGGCGUUUUAGAUAAAAUUAACACAAAUCGAAUGUGCAAACCUGUGCCAACUCUUCGACUGAAAUGACACGGUUCCCUGCCUCGUCAAAAUAAUCAUAAGCUGUGGUGGCAAUUCUUUCCCAUUCUGGAUGAACUUCCAGCUGGUAUACACUGAUUGCAGCAGCGCAAAACUCUUCGAAGUCCAAUCUUUUAUAGGAGAGUGGAUCCAUCUUAUUUCAAGAAACACACAUUUCAGAUAUUUCAUAUUAGAUUUGCAUUCAAGAAGAAAAGAAAAAUGCUUUUAAGGAAAACAACAAAAUGUAUAAUAGUUCACGUAAUGAUAAAAUCCAAAUAUGAUCAUAUACUGAUACCAUCUGAACAUUUUUAAAAUAUAAACAAAUUAUAGUUACUUCCAACCACCUGUUUUCACUAAAUACCUCUGUCAAGAAAAUGAGCAAGACUUAAAGGUUACAACAUUUAAUUCAUCACAGUGGCCCCUUAUAUCAUCCAACUUCAUUUAAGUUUAUCAUAUGAAUCAAUCAAGACAUGGUACAUGAUAGGUUUGGAGCAAAUGGAUGAAGUUUGAAGAAAUAUAAAUACAUAUAUGAUAUAUAUCACAAAACAAAUACGACUUACCAAAUUUAGAAUGUCAGGGACCCUUGCCUCCUUCAUGGCGUCAGUUGCAUUUUUCAUGAGAGCCUGAAUUUAUUAUAAUUUCAGUUUAGAGAUUAUGGUUGUUUGUUUAAGAACACGUCUUAAUGUCAUAGAAGGAAUACAUUCGCAAAAAAAUCGUGCACUUACAACUCUGAAAUUCUCAAGUGAAAUGCAACCAUCUUUAGGUUCCAAGAGGCUAAAUUGUGCUCUGAGGUAGGUAACCUCGUCCACCGGCAAUGCUUUUGAGAGAGCCUGCAUAGAUACAGAGAAAAUUGAAAACAUAAAACAUCACUCUUCUUUCAUUGUCCACAGACCUCACAAAGGGAAAAGGAGGGGAGGAUAAAAAUGCAUUUGUAAUAAUGGUAGCAUAACAGGUGACUACCUUCAGUGCCGCACGUUUCAAUGGCGAGGCGCGCACAUAUGACUUGACUAACUUGUAAAUCAAAAUAUCUAAAGGAACGACAUUUUUUUCAUCUCUCAACCAUGGGUGAGCUGCAAAUAUGGAGGCAAUUUAAUAUUACAAAUCACGGAAUAAGAUUUAGGAGUGUUUGUGUGUGAGAGAAUUCAAUACAAACAAUUAACCAUUAAGUUAGGCAUGGUCUGAGCAAAAUAUUCAAAUGAAACAUACAUAAAGCUUGAGCAGCAGUCAUCCUUUUCCUGUGGUCCUUGUUCAAAAGUCUCUUCACGAAGUCUUUAGCUUCCGGUGAAAUUGAUGGCCAAGGUGAAUCAUCAAAGUUAGGAUUUGCUCGUAACACAGACCGGAAAAUUCCUGAUUCUGUCCGUGCCCAAAACGGUCUACUUCCACAUAACAAUAUGUACGAUAUAACUCCAACACUCCACAAGUCUGCUUCAACGCUGUAAGAUCUAUGGAGCACUUCAGGUGCAACAUAGUAGGCACUACCAACAAUAUCAUUGAGGCGCUGCUCUGCAUGUUUAUAAGAAGUCAGUGCUAUCAGUGCAAAAAUCAAUAGGAGAACAGAAAUGUUCAUAAAGCAGAAUGAAUGAUAUAUAGGAGUACUUAUUUUGAACAGUGGAGGGAGUCCUAAACCUAGAACUAAUGCAUUCCUGAGAUUCAUCUAAGCCUAUAAAUUAGUGAAAAUCGUUUGACAAGCAAAUCGAUGUAGGCCUGUAGGGCUUUGUAGGGUGGGAUUGAGAAGAAAAUAUAGAGAAAUCUUACAUUUAUUUUUAUGGUGUGUUUUUUUAGAGAUUGAUAAAUUAAUGUUUAUAAUUACUAAUUUUAAGAGUAUUAUAGCAACAUAGAUUGGAUUCGAAGAAUUUAUAUAAACCCUCCAAACUCCUCCAAUAAAAUUUUUUAGUUACUUUCUUUUGGGAGGAUUUUGUAGUAUAAAGAAAAAUAAACCCCUCAAAGUCCUCCUCCAAAAGUUUCAAUUUCUUCCACUUCUUCUUUCCUUUUUUUCAAAGCCCUCCCUUCCAAACUCACCCUUAGAUUUAUCUGUCCAUCACAAAACUAAUGACUGAUGAAUUGUAAUAUGGUAAAAUAUCACAGUUCCUAAAAUGUACUGUGUAGGUAUCCCACAAAAUAAGGAACUGUCAGACCAUAUUGCACAAAACAUGUGCUAUUUUAUUCCUCGGUUAUUCUACGAAAAAUUGAAUGUGAGAACUGAGAAUUCUACCAUGCAAGUGCAUAAUAUACUAGAGCUGAAACUAGGAAGAAACUUAAAUACAUGAAAGUUAGGUUGUUUCGAUCACAUUACCUGGUCUAACAAAAUCAGAUAGACCAAAAUCAAUAACUUUCAGAACAGCAUCCUCAUCUUUUGAGACAAAAAGAAAAUUCUGCAAAAUAGGCAAAACAUUUAGGGUUACAAGUUUAUAGAUUAGAGAAGUAAUUAUACAAACAAAAUAAUUCCUUGUUCACUGAAAGGCGUGGCCAAGUAAUGUAAGUAGUUCAAACUUCACAAUGCCGUACCUCUGGUUUUAGAUCGCGAUGAACAACUCCCUGGAGAUGACAAAAGGCAACUACAUUCAGAAUUUGUAGAAGAAUAACUUUGGCGUCUUCCUCUGUGUAUCUUCCACCUCUUCAUUAAAUAAUUAACAUCAAAAGAAUCCAAUUACCAUCAUGUUAUUUAAAAACCGAACUUCUGCAAGAAAAGUAAACAAAGUAACAGAUAGCAUAAAUAAAAAAACAAUCUUUCAGUUUUACCUAUCUAGAAUUCUGUCCAGUAAUUCUCCACCCUCGCACAACCUGACAAGAAGAAUAUCUCAUUAAUUCGACAUAAAUUACUGAUUUAACAGUUGUAUGUACUACCCAGCUGCAAAAUCGGUUCAUGUUGUGAACAAUAUUGAAAACAUGUACUUAUGAUGAAGUCCUUUACACCCAAUAACUUCAUGAGAACACAAAUCAACCGGUUGAUAAUGAAUAAAAUCCUAUCAAGACUGAAAGCAAUUUUCAGAUAUAGUUGUUUCUAUACAUACUCCAUCACAAUGUAGACGUUAUUCACAUCCUCAAAUGCAUCAUAAAACUUGACCAAAUUCCUAUGUCCAGAUAAGGCCUUCAACAUUUUCACCUCUCUCCUCACAUCUUCAAUUGCUAUUGCUGAAGUCAUCUGCCAUAUGAAAAUCAGUUAAUCGCAAUAAACAUCACAAAGCAAAAAUUACAGUGUGAGAUCGGAAAGCAAAAAAAAUUAAAUCAUAUAUCAAUUCAUGUUGAUAUAUGUCAUAAAAAAAAUAAAGCAACAAACAACCACAACAUAACAAUAAGUAAUUCCCCCACCCUAAAUUAAAAUUUACUCUCAGACACCAAUUUGAUUGUUUAGAGAAUAAUGAAAAGUUGCAGGAGUAUAGAGUAAGCUUUAGUUCAAGCUCGUCCUAGAAACGUCACCCAUCAGAGCCCAAGUAGCUAAAGUAAAAGUUCUAAAUUGUCUGAUUCAAUGUACAAUUCUUGUAAUGUUCAUCAAUAAGAAAGGUGUUGUUUGUUCCCUUUCUCCGUGAUCUCAAUUUUCCUCUCAUUCUUUUCUUAUUAAGCAUAUAUGCUACACUCCAAUUCAGUUCAUAAUGGAGUUGAAAAACAAUUGUAAAUCCGAGGUUGGUUAUAUGCGGUUUUUACUAAACACCAAUAUGUUUACCAAUGAUCUAACCAGAAGCCUAAAACAGCUUUUGUCAAACAAACGAUUUCACUGCACAAACAAAACGGUUUCGCCCAUCCAUGUGUUUUGGCAACAAAGGGAUAAUGAGCGCCACUACACAAACAAAGGAGCCUGUACCGGUUGAACCACUACUAAUUGGGCACAAAUAGAACCAAAAAUGCAAUGAUUUGCCCUUAGCUAUAGAGGUUGCAACUUCACAUUUUUCUUAAUUGUCUCAUGCCAUAUAACAAUUUUUGCCACCCAGUGCUACAAAGCUCCCACCACAGCAUGAUCUAGGGAAGGGUUGGACCCUUUGGAGGUGUACUGUAAGCAACCUAACCUUGCAUUUGUAAAGUAUAUAUGCAGAAACCCAAUUUUAAGAGCCAUGAUUUUCUACUUCUAGUCUCAUACUAACAACUCCGACUAUUUUGCUACCCUAAUCUCAACAAUUUAUUGCGAUGCUCCCAAGAAAUCAACCAGAGAUAAAGAACCGGUUCAGCCAAAUGUAGGUGUUAUCUGGCAUGAUUAAUCCUGCAAUGUUUGGCUUUCCAUACUUUUAAAUUUUAUUGGAAAAACAGGUUUUCAAGCAUUUUCCUUUCUCGUACUAGCAUCUACGUAGAUCAUGGCAGAUAAUGGAGUGUGGCGGCUAACUCCCAAAACACUAUAGUGGUAUGGCGGGUAGCAGUAUGGCCGUUACGUUGAAGUUUAAUGAAACAGUACAAGAAAUAUAUACCAUACACAUACAAACGCUAAAAAAUAGAGAAAGUUAACGCAAAAUUAAAGACAUAUUCAUAGUUAAUAAUCAAAAUUUAUUGUUACCAACAUUCAAACCAAUUUGAAUCGAUUAAGUUUCAAGGUAAAAUGACCACCAAGUUCGAAAGCAAAAAAGCGGAGGCACUGACUAUAAUUUGGCGGCAUGUUCGGAUUUUCGCGGGAGCUUCAUUGUAACGGUAACUACGCAACUGUUCGGCUGCUACUGCCGCUACUAAAAAUGUAACGCAUUGGAGUUUCUCGUUUAGCGCCUAUAUGGUACGCAACACCACAAUAGUAGCAGCCACUAUGGAAAACGACAUCUUACAUCACCAAUAAAUCCAUUUCAAACUUCAAUGCAAAACUACUACCUUACCAAAUUCCGUAACGCGUUAAUGGUAUUGGUAUGAUAUCCAUUCCGAAUAUAUCGACUAAACUCGAAACAAAUUCAAAUUCAGCAUCAUAGUUUUCCAAAGAGUGCUUAACCGCUAAAUUGAGCUUCCAAAUUCAAAAAGUAAAAUGGAAAACACUAUUCACAUAUUACAUUUCCCACUACAAUAUGAUCACAAAAUUCAAAUCAAUUAGAAAAAUACUCAGAAAAGUCAACAAUUGAUCCUAAAUUGACCAAGAGUACUAAACACGCAUAAAAUUAUCUUAACAAUUGACCUUCAAAUUUUAAAGCAAUCAUAAUCAUAAUCAUAUAAUCAAAAACAAAUAAACAAUAUAGUAUGAUCUUAAUUUUCACCUUAGCUUUGGUAAUGAUUUUGACAGCUACUGAAAUUCCCUUAAGUUCACCUUUCUUCCCUUUAGCCCAACAAGUAUGACCAAAAUGCCCUCGACCAACUUCCUUCCCAAGCUCAAAUUUCGCCCCAAAAUUCUUCCCAUACCCAAAACUCUUAUCCAACGUUCUCUCUCCACCACCACCACCUUCUCCAUGCUCCUCCGGUAUAGGUCCAUCUUUCGGUUUCAUCUUCCGGUAAAGGUCCAUUAUAGGCUUCGCUGGUGACGGUGGAGGAAGUGGCCACCUGAAUUUCCUCCCCGGAGUCUUCGUCGCCGGCGACGGCAUCACACCUGCCGGAAGAGGACUAUUGAAAGGACUUGUGGAGAAAGAGGUUGCCGGAGUUUGUCUUCCCGGAGUAGCAUCACUGACGCCGGAAACAGGUUGAGAAACCGAAAGCGGUGAUGGUGUGUGGUGCGGUGGUGGUUUGUGGUGGUGAUCGGUGGCGACGGUUUCGUUGUCGACUGCGAUGCUUUUGCUGCAGCAAUGACCCAUGGUUAGGUAGCGUAGGUCGGCGGUAGUGGAUUGUUAUCGGUGGUAGUCAAAUAGAGAGAAGAAAUGUCGCCGGAGAAAUUGAGAGAGAAGAGAAAAUAGUGUAGAGAGAGAAAGAGAAAGUAGUAGCAGAAGAAAAAAAUUAUUAAGACAGAACGCAAAUAAAUGAGUUAAAUUUUUAUGAAGUUGUAAGAGAGAGAGAGAGAGACUUGUUUUUUUGACACAGUCCAACUGUAUUCAUUUAUGUGUGAAACUAAAUUGCUUCCUACGUUAGUUGGUUGGCUCUUUUUGUCUACUUGCAAAACUGUAUAUACUAAUUUAUCUAGUUAAAAUGUUGAUAAAAAAAUUCUUUAAAAAAAUUAUUUAUCAUCUUAUUCAAGUGUUAUCGGGUCUUUUUUUAUUUGAAGUGUUAUCAAGGCUACAUUCUUUAGAUCUUUUAUGCAAUUUAGUAUAUCUGAAUUUGGAUUUUAAAUGUUUUUAUUCUACAUGUUAUUUUGUUAAUGUAUCUUACUUUAAUUUAUUGGUUUGAUUUAUUCUUUAUAGCAUAUCAUUUUUUUUAUUUUUUUUUACAAAAUAAUGUGUCUUUUCCAUAAUAGAAAAUUUAGAUAUGGGAGGUACGCCUCAUACAUACAGCAUAGAAUCUCUUAUCUUAUUGUGAGUGUAAACGUAAUAUUCAAUUAUUUGCACUGACAAUAAUUGUUGAAAUUAUGUUGCGUAAUAUUUGUAUAAUUUACAAAUGAUCUCGAAUUUUAGAAAUCAAACGAUUUUGUUUGAUAUUUUUUUUUAUGAAAUACUUCAUUUCAUUUUUAAAUAAAGGUGCAAUACAAAUAAUAUAUGUACAUAAAAUGGAUGAGGUUCAAUUAAAUAAAGAAUAUUUUGUAAAAAAUAAAAUAAAAAUUAUAGAAAAUUUUGCAAGUUAUUUUUGGUUGUUUGAUAAAGAGAUUUUGUAGGAUUAUUGGAAUUUAUAAUUUGCUUAUCUCCGAAUAAACUUCACUAAAAUUAGUCAACAAAAAUUAAUUAAAAAUUAUAAACAAAGAUAAAAGAAUAUUUAAUUAUUAUUAUAAUAUAUAAUUAAAAACUGAAAAUGUGUAUGGCAGGUAAAUUCAUAUUUGAAAAAUUCACCAGAUUCAUUGAAUAGUAAUGUAUAAAAAUACGAAUGAAAAAAAUUAAUACUCAAAAAUUAGAAGGACAGAAUAUGAGUUAUUUAUUUUUUCUUUAAAAAAAAUGAAUUAGUUAUUUUUUUUUGGAGGAAAUUAGUUUUUUUGCUACAGUAUGAAUUUGUUUUGAAAUAACCUAAUAGUGUGUUUGGGUGGGGGAAUAUUUUGAGGUGAUGUAAUGUUUUGAGGGAAUUCAAUUAUCUUUAAGUGGAUUCAAAGAGUAGAAUUCACCUCAAAGUAAUUGAAUUCCCUAAAAAGAUUACAUUCCCCAUCCAAACACAUUCUAAGAUUAAUCAAAUUUGGAAAAUUGUACGGGCUUGGAAACAAUGAUUAUUUAAUUAUGAUUUUGUUGUCAAAAAAGCUAAUGAGAUAAAAACAUAGUAUUACCUUGGAAGACAGAGGAAUAUUCGAGGAUUUUGCCAAGAAAAGAAAACCACAUUUCUCAAGAUCAACUUUAUUGUCUUUUGGCUGAAACUAUUGGUAUUUGAUCAAGGAAUGGCAUCACAUUAACAAUUUUGUGGUAUACUUUUCUGAAUAAUGUGGUCUUUUUUUUUUCCCUUUUUCGGUCUAGUUACGGUUUUUUCUUUUCCUCUUUGAAUAAUGCCACAUGCAUUGAAAUUUGAGUUUGGUGUUGUUGAACUACAUUAAUUGCAAUAGCAGAAGGGGCAAGGCACUUGGAUACAACUUUCUUUUGGGUUACGGUUCAAGCAAAUUAAAAACUGAAAUUUUGAUAAAAUUAACGCACCAAAAUUAGUAGUUUAAUGCCAUGAAAUUCCUUUUUGAGAGAAUGCCAUGAAAUUCCUGCAAACCAUUUGUUAUAAGUUUAGAUUAAAUACUACACCGUGAGUAUAAUUCAAAUUAUAUAUAAAAGUAUGUGCUGCUCUCUUUCCUUUUACUGAAAAAGUUUGUGCUACCAUAUUAUAUAAUUCUGUAGUGUUGCAAAUGGUUUCCGUGUGCUUACUUUUUCUAUCUCUACUAUAUGGUCUAAGGGUUGACGAGACAAGUAGUAGUAUUAAAAAAAGAGAAAAAUACGAUACUACGUAUGAAUUUAUGACCAUGCAUCUACGUUGACUGAAACAAAUCGCCGAAUUACGUUGUCAUCUUAUCAUCAUCGGACUUUAUGCAUUUUUUGUGCAUUUCUUUUAUAUUUUGGUUACAAUGGCAAAGAAAACAAAAAAAACAAGAAAAACAAAAAGAAGAACCUAAGAUCUCAAAGUUCCAGUAGCAUCAUUCCUCAGCAAGGGAAGCAGGUCAUUUGGGGGAGACGGGUGAAGAACAAAACCAUCAUCUAAAGAGGCUCCUCGCUUAUCUAGAAAAGUUGCGCAUUGAUUGCCUACAGGGAGCGUGUGCUAGAGCGCAUAGUUGGCUUGGGCAUGAAGCACUUUUAUUUCGUGGAUGUGAAUCGUGUGAACAUGGAACCUUGAGGUGUUGCCAACAAUAAGGUUGAUAGAGAGGAGAGAGUUUGAAUAACAAACCAACUCAGCGAUACCCAUCUAUCUUGCCAUGGAGAGUCCAUUAAAAAUUGAUGUCAGCUCGACUUGAGAACCCUACUAGAUUAAGCAUGUGUUGUUACGUAUAAUGCCACCAAAAACUACUCAAGUCGAGCUGCCAAUACAACUCCCAUCAACUUUGAGGAUUGCACAAUCAAAAUUAUUGUUAUUCCACCUGAUAUGCCUUUCGAGAGGUACAACUGGAUUGGAAGGGGAGAAGCUUAACCCCUGAUAUCUUCCGCUAAAUUCUUGAUGUUCAAUGUCAGUUGGUUAAGAGUCAUUCAAACACAUUGAAUUGCGGCAUCUCCAAGUCCACCACAAACCUACUAAGAAAGUGAUAGCAUUAGAUUCCUUCGUUCCAUCCUUUAGCCAACCCACCACACAAUCAUAGGCAAGGAAGGAAGGAUCGGUGUAGCCUAAGUGAAGCCAAAUGGUCCUCGAAAUCAUGUAGUCAUGAAUGCAGUGGAAAAGGGUAUCUUCGUGCACUCCACAGCGAGAGCAAAUCGAUGAAGGAGCAAUAUUUCUAUGGUGAAGUAGAGAUAGAGUGGGGACAACAUUGUGACAAGCUAGCCAAAAUGAGAGACUUGUAUUUUUUCGAGAUUUUAAGUCUCCAAAUCCAAGACCAGGAGAGAGGCGAGUUGGUGACGGUGUCUGUUCCGGGAAUAUAUAGGAGCCAGUUUAACCGCUUUUGGUGGAAUAUACUCCAUUCUUGUUGAGCGGUCAAAGAAAAGCAUCUUUUAUUGCAUCAUUGAAUCUGACGUUGGCGUUAUUGAUGAAAUUCACUACUGCUUGAGGAAGAGGGGUGUGCAGAGAUAUAGAUCGCUGCCUAUUAAUGGUGAGAACAUCUUUGACUGUGAGAUGGAUUUCAUGGAUGUCGAUUACAAGGACCUGAGAUCCGAGAAAACCAAAAUCAAUCCAACAAUUGGACCAAAACGAAGAAGAACCAAAUAUGUAUUUCUCUUUUUAAAAUCUAUUGAAUUUUCCCUUUAUUUAUUUUUACAAUACACACACACACACACGUGAGUUAGACUUCGAGAAAUCACUUUAGCCGAGUAAACAUACUUAUAGAGAUAUUUACAUAUCAUUUAUCAAAUAGAUCCUCACAUCGAUAGUGAGAGUUGGACUCACGACUUUGCAUAUAAGUCAUUCCUUAUCAACUAUACCAAUACUCAUUCAUUUGCAUAUAAGUCACAUCGAAAAUUGAGAAGCUCAUGUGUAAAAUGUCGUGAGGGUCGAAAGACUUUCAAUUCUCCUUUAAACCUUAUGAAGGGAGAUCGUGUGGUAUCUCAAAUAUAUGGGACACAAUUGUGUUUGUUGCGAAAUAUUUCUAUAAUAUGAAUAACACAUUAAUUGUAUCAGGUAUAUUUGCAACCCACAUCAAUCAUUAUGAUUUGUAGGAAAAUAUAUUUUUAUGGCAACAAUUAUAUGAUAGGGUAGUAGGUGAUUCUCGUAUGACUUGAUGUGUAUGUGGAGGUUUUAACGUAGAUAGAUAUGAUAUGGAAGCAAGUGGAUAGUUGAUUAUUCUAGAAAGGGUGGCAUGAGAAUUUUUAUAGCGUGGGAGUGAGAAAGCUUGUAAAACUCAUUAAGUUCAUUGGGACAAAAUGUGUUUACCUAAAGAGAAAGGUGGUUGAGUGUGAGAAAUUCAAGAGCUUUUAGUUUUGAUCUCUUAGAAAAGUGGUGUUGGAGGUUAAUAAGGAGAGAAGAUGAAUAUCUUUAGAAUAAAAACUUUGUAAAUAAAUGGGAUGGUAAAUAUGGAAGGAAGUAGAGAUUCGUUGUGGGGGAGAGACAUUUGUAGCAUCGAUAAAAGUGAUAAGGGGAGUUGAGAUAGUCGGCUGAGAAUGUAAUAUUCCAUUUGUGUGAGGAGUUAUGUAUUAUGAAUGAAACAUUUAAACAUAUUAACAUCUAAGUUAUGGUCAGAUGUUUUGUCUUGGCUUGGUUUGUUGAACAGCAACAUCAGUCAUGUUACACAGUUUAUAGAUUUAGUUUCUCAUGGGAAAAAAAACAAUGGAGCUUCUUCAUUUGAUGCAAAUGGCUUGCUUGUUGAUUAUUUGGUGGCAACAUAAUCAAAUUGUUUUAAAGUGUGCAUGAUUACAUUCUCAAGUUGAAUUCAUGAUUGUUAGGAGAUCCAAGAAUGACAUAGCAUCUAAGUUAUUCAUAAUCUAAAUGAACGAAGAGGAUUUUCAAGAUCAAGAUGGAGUUGAUCAAGCUGAAUCAAAGAUGCAAUUUUCUCUGGGUCAAUGAAAGUCAGAGGAAAAAGAUAAAAUGUCAUAUGGAUCAAACGUUGCUUUAGAAGAUUCGCUCUGAAGGAAAUUAAAGCAAUCAUAUAAAUGACAUAAACCUUAAGAGAUCAUAAUCAUCGUCUGGUCUACAUAAUUCGUUUAGACAAUCCAACAAGAAGGAAUCAAAGUUAACCUUUUUAAUAACUAUGAUCCUCUGAGUAUGCUCCAACAAAACAUCAAGUAGACUUUGUUCGAGAGUUUGGAGGGGAGGGGAGGGGAAGAGAGAGCUAUGAAGGGUGAUAAAUAUAUAGAAAAAUGAAAAAUCUUUAACAUUUUUCAAAAGAGCAAUUUUUUAGAGAAUGCUAAACUAAUGUUUAUGAUUAAUAUAUUUUUAAUUUUAAUAAUAUUAUAAUAAUGUAUAUUGAAUUUGAAAAAUUCAUACAAAGCUCGUAAAACCCCCCAAAAUCCUAUUCAAUAUAAAUUUUGAGUUUCCAUGUGUAGAGUUUUGUAUUAUGAAUAAAAACUCAACCUCAAAAACCCGCUUCUCCCACUGUCUUAUAUUUCUUCCACUUCCUCAUUUCCUUCAAAACUCUCAAACAAAACCUUAGAGUAUUAAAAAAAAAAAAAACCUUCUACAAAUAUUUUGAAGUAUAACGACGAGGCUCUCUCUUUCACUCUCAACAUAAGAUGAAGUACAUCUAUCAAAUAAAUGGAUAUCUUUUGACUUAUUAAUUUUUAACAAAUAAACUUACUGUUGUAGCUUAAUAUAUAUCAUUGAGGUAGCUAAUUUAAAAACAUACUAAAUUAUUCGUGUUUUUUUAUUUUUUUAUUUUUUUUUUAUUUUUUUUUAUAGCCAAAACUACCCCAAUAACAUGCAUGGCUUUGCCCCUAUUUCUCAAAACCAUUUUCACCACGAGAAAAUACCAAAGAGUAAUACAAUGACAUACAUAGAAUAUGUGUCUAAUGUAACCUUUUCAAUCCCAUACAAUCAAUGAAGAACAAUUUGCUCCGAUUCAAUUUUUUAUGAAUAUUAUUUAUGAGAAAAAGUUUAGAUUAGUCGAGUAACAGGAGCUCAUGAGGGGCAGCGCAAGUCUCAAGACUCAAAGCACGUUUGCUAUUGAAAUAAUUACAUAAACGAGAAAAGUAACAUGUAAGAUUGUUUAAAAAAUAUAUAAAUACAACAUAUUUGGUUUGACGAUGAUGUAAAAUCGAUACUUAAACCAAUAAUAAUCGAGUUUGUUCGGUUUAAUUCAGUUUUGGGAUAAAACAAUAUCUAAAUCUCAUGAAACUUGUGUUGUGGUUAAGCAUGACUCAAUGACAAAACCGUUUUAUUCAUUUUAAUUCCAGAUUUGACGGGAAUCAAUCACGUUGGUAGUGAUGCUAUUUAACAAGGUGCAAAAAGUAACUCAAGAAACUUAUGAGUGGGGGCAAUAGAGAAGGCCCAAAGAGAAAACAGACAAAAAGAAGCAGAGUACGAUGCACGCGCUUGUAAGUAGCGUGAGACGAUAACAUAAAAUGUAAGUAAAACAACGUAGUGAAAAAGGUGUAUAUAAUGGUGUUCACACCGUGCCGGUCGAAAUUCGCCACAACCAAUCAUCUUUCACCAAAAAACCCUUUUUCUCAUUUCAUUCUCUUCACCCUAAUCGCAUCGUUUUCUACUUUGAAGUUUGUUUUUUUCUUCUUCUUUCAAUUUCAAUUUCAAUUUCUAGGGUUAGGGAUUUCUAAUUUUCUAUUUAUUUUCCCCCUUCUGGGGCACUUUCGACUGUUGUUGUUUAAUGGAGGCCACGGCUGCCGCAGCUGCCGCCGCUCGCGGCGUUGCUCUUCAGUUGCAGACCCCGCCACGGAAAGAAUGGCGUGCUGUUGCUGAACAUCAUCAUUCUGCGAGAAACCCUGAUGAUGAGGUACUGAUUUGAUGUUAAAACACUUCACAUUGUUUUUUUGUAGUGUGGGUUUGUGCGUGGCAGAGAAAAGCGUUUUUUUUUAAUUGGAGUUAAUCGUAGUUGAUUUGGGUUUUUGGGUGUUUUUAGGCAUUGAUUUGGGAUUAGGGUUUACCAUUUUAUGAUGAUUAGGGUUUACCAUUUUUUGCAGUGCUUUUUUGCUGUUGUCGUUUUAAGCAGCGAGUUUUCUUACUUUUCCAUGACUUAUGCAUCAGAAAAUCGAUGUCACAUGAUGUUUGGAGCGAAGAUUAUAGUUUUACUGUCGGGUUCAGUUGUCUUUUUUUUUUUUUUGGUUGCUUGCAUUGAAUCCAAAUUUUAAUUGAGAUUGGAAUGUGCUUUACUUUCAAGUUGCUGGCCAUUUGAACAAUGUAGUCUGAUUGCUAUUUUUAAGUUGAAUGUGCUUAGAGUUCAGACUUUUGCUGUUGAAGUUUAAGGUUACCAUAAAGUUUGAACUUAUGGUUUCAUUUACCGAGUAAAGAUUUUUAGAUUUGAGUACCAAAUAUUUGAUAGCUUACCAUUGUGUAAGAUAUGUAAAAGGGAGCUUAAUUUUGAUUUUGUUGUUGCUGUUAAUUGUUGUGUUUGGUUGAUUUGGUUGUUGAUUAGCUUUUUUUGGGGUGCAGGAGUUAGAAAACCCAAAACUUGGGCAAUCGGACGAGAGAACCAUAUAUGAGGUAAGGUUUCGGUGUGAGAACCUGCCUUUAAGUUUUAAGGGAUCUAGAUCCCGAAGAUAAUCUCUUACUGUUUUUCAAGGUGCAGCAAGGAAGAGAGCCCCUGGAUGUUGAUUUUUGUUCGAUGACAAUGGAUGGAACACUAGACAUAGAUAUUUUACAGCAGCAGAUCCUUAGUGCUGUUAGUCAAAGGCGUGAAAUACUUCAAAUGGAGAUUGAACUAAAAGCUCAAAUCAUCGCCAGAUCUGAGCUGUUGAAAAUGCGAAACACCUAUGAUGCUCAACUGAAGGAGCAUGCUAACAAUGCCAGCAAGUUUCAGGUGUACAUUUAAACAUUUCAUACGUAUAUUUGGAUACUCAAGACUAGGCUGAUCUAUAACUUCUGAAAAAAUUGGUUUCCUCAGGUCAGGUGUUAAAAGAAAACCAAACUUUUAGAUGCUUAAUUGUAUCCUUUACAACACCUAGGAGAUUAUAACAAUUUUAGUGACACUGGUGUAGCAGACAUAACUAUUAUAUUCUGAUGGCUUAAAGGGGCACUUUAUCCUUAAGUUACCGUACUUUUAAGUUUAAAGAUUUGCUCCUAGCCUCCUACUGGUUAAGAAUUGUUGGUCGCUUUUAAAAAAAACUGUUUAUCUGGCCUUGCAGGAGCAACUUUGUGAAAGGGAGCGUGCAAUUCAUGAGCUGGAAAGGAAAAUGGAAGAGAAAGACAGGGAGCUACAUAAAAUUAAACUAGAUAAUGAAGCGGUGUGUUGAAUGCCUCUUAACUAUCUUAUUUCGGUUUUCUGGAUCUUAUUUUAGUCUCUUGAUUUCAUGCUAAUCUCUUCAAUUAUUUCAUUAGGCGUGGGCUAAACAAGACCUUCUUCGUGAGCAAAACAAAGAACUAGCAUCUUUCAGGUUAUUCUUUUAUCCAUAUUUAUGCAAUGCUUUAAGUUUUGCUUUCAUCCUUCGCUGCUUGCUUCAUUGAGCAAAUCGUUUUGCAGAAGGGAGCGUGAUCAUUCAGAAGCGGAAAGAGCUCAACAUAUACAACAAAUACAUGAUCUGCAAGAACAUAUUCAAGAAAAAGAUAGACAACUUAUUGAGUUGCAGGAACAGGUAGCAUGCUUGUAUUUUAUGUAAUUUCUUUUGAAAAUAAUUUAUUUAAAGUUUAUUCGCUUACGUGGCCAGCUGAUGUUUCUUUCAGAAUAGGGUUGCGCAGGAGACAAUUAUGUUUAAAGAGGAACAGAUUAGAGAGGCUCAAGCAUGGAUAACCCGUGUUCGUGAGAUGGAUGUUUUCCAAUCAACAACAAACCAGUCAUUACAGGCUGAAUUGCGAGAGCGCACGGAACAAUAUAAUCAGCUAUGGAUGAAUGUACAGAGACAGGUUGAUCUACAUUUCUUAUCUUCUACGAGGAUUAUGUUUCAUUUUUUACCCCAAAUAUUGUUGUAUGUCCUUUUGUACUUGUGUCUUUGUUUGCACCGUUUUGAAAUAGAUAUUCAAUUCACAGCUGUGAUUUGGUUUUGUAGAUUCUUUGAAUUAUUUUCAAAGAAUUUGAACUUCUGAGCUUUAUAAGCAUUUUUUGGUUUGUUAUAGUAUGUCAUGUCAUUACUUAAAAUAAUGAUGGAUGCUGCUUAACUCUAUACUUGUUUUUUGGUGGCGGUAGUUUGCAGAGAUGGAGAGGCAUCAUUUGCAUGCUAUGCAGCAGUUACAGCUUGAGCUAGCUGAUGCAAGAGAGAGGACUGGAACUUACAAUGAUGACUCUCGAAUGUCCCAAGUAAAUUCGAAAAGUAACGUAGCUCCAUAUGGACAGGAAAAUGGAAAUCAAUUUGACUUGAAUGGAGGCAAUGCUUCAGGUGGAAAUACUGGUCUCCUUACAAAUGAGAACUCAGAUAACGGUCCUCCAUUUUCAACUUCAGGCAAUCCGUCAAUUCAGGUGCAGUGCUUCAUUUAAUGAAUUAUAGAUAAACAGCUAAGCAUUUUACUUUUGUUUUAUUCCCAGAAAUUUUAUUUGCAAUGCGUCUUACAUGCCAUUUGAUUUUAUACCUAAAACAACUCUUUCAAGAUGUCAUUUGAGAUCAUAGAUUCAUAAUGACAUAGGUUAUGAAUGACUGUUUUGUAAAGUGCCAUGUGGGUUUUCAUCAGGUAUCAAAGCACUACAGUAGCUUGUAUAUCUUCUCAUGAACCAAGUGUAAGGGAAUCUGCUCCUCUAAAAUGAGGAGCUUUAGAGAAAGGUAUCGGAGCACUAGAGUAGUUUGUAUAUCUUCUCAUGAACCAAAUGUAAGGGAAUCUGCUCCUUUAAAAUGAGGAGCUUUAGAGAAGAAGUGAGAUGCUAACACCAUCAAUGUGAAGUUUAGAUCUAAACAAUUUUAUAUUUUGACAUACAUGUUAUACACACUUAAUUUCAGCUGUUGUUAUUUUCAUUAAAUGGCUUUCACUCCUGUCUCCUCCUGAAGUGAAUACAAAAUUUGAGACUGAGUAGCUAUACAUGGCUGUUGGUGUUCUUUAGCUCUGCCUUGUGCCGGUCUAUUGAAAAUUUUGUGCCCAGACUAGGAGGUUCAAAGUGAUAAUUGAUAUCUUUUCAAAACAAACUAUUGAAAAUGCAAUACAUGUAAUGGUUUGAUUUGAAGAUUGAGAUAGUUGUUAAACAGGAAUGUUGAAUCUUUUGGUUGACUGAUGAGAUAAUUUACGAGGAUCAAACUGAUGGUGCUUUUUUUUUUUAAUGACAAAUGUUAGUAUGUUGAUAGUUAUGUUAGUAUUUUCUCCCUUGCCAAGAUUCGAACCCUGAACCUUUAACUUUUAACUUCUUUAAUCCCUUAGCUCAACCAAGUGAGCAACCCAUCCCCCCCAAUGCUUGGAAGUUAUGGUAUCUUACUAGUUCUUUUAGUACAAACCCGGAUGUUAAUUAAUAGUACAUACCACAGCCUCAGCCCUAUUAAUAAGGAGUUAAUUUUUAUAGAACUUAUAUUUACUUUUAAUUUUUCUAAGUACAUCAAAGAUUGUCCCAUGUUAUUAGGUGGGUUAUACCUUUUGACUUUGAUCAAUACUUUUAUUAUGUUGUAAACUUGUAAUCCAUGUCUUUUACUUUGAUAUAAGAUUUGAUGGACAUGUUUUGUCAGGAGAUUGGAAAAUGACAUUUCUUACCCAUUUACAAUACUGUUGUGGUUAUUUUCAGACUGAUCAUACUCAUGGUGUCGCUAUUGCUCCAUCAUCUCUGAUUGUCCCCCACCCGUACCUUCCACCUGGUCAAGUUACUGCCUUGCAUCCAUUUGUUAUGCAUCAACAAGGAGUGCCCAACUCUGUUGCAUCACAUGUCCCUCAGUCUCAUGUUGGACAUUUUCAUCCAGUGCCCACAAUGUCACCUAUGCAACAGUGGCAAAAUCAACAGGUAUCUAGUGUUACAUAUAUGCCAGAUCUUAUUAUUAUUAUUUUUUUCUUUCUCUUUUUAACUUUUGGAGUUUUAAAAUUUAUACUUGUUUUUUCAGGCUGUUUCAGAGGGUUUGCAGGUAUCCAUGCAGGAUAAUGCCGCCUCAUCCCAAGCUGAUCAAAAUUUGAUCAGAUCAGAUGCAAAGUUUAAUUAUGACAUGUCUGUUAAUGGGCAAACUCUUACUAGAGACUACUUGGAUGCUCAUGUUCACCAAGGCGAGGAGGCACAUACUGUGGUUUCAUCAUCCACCGGGGAAACACAGGUUUGGUGACUAUUGGUUUUGAAGGUUUUUUUCUCCCAAUAUUUGUCUAUUAAAUAUAACAGCUGAUGAAUAAUUGAUUUUUUCUAAGGUUCUUCAGUCGGUUGAUAAAGAUCUACUUAUUGCUUCCCAACAAAGCUUACAACAGAUUUCUUCACAGUUCUCUGAGGCCUUGAGGUUGAACUCUUUUAAACCAAAUGGUGAAAUGAAGGUUUGUUCGGAAUUUUCCGCCCUGUUUGAUGCUUUACUUGUUUUUCUUUGUUUGAUAGACUAAAGUUCAUUUGGGGGGUGGUUUCAAAUGCUACUUUAAAUGGUGGUUAUUUGUGUUUCAUUGUAAAUCGUUAAUUUACAAAGAUGUCAAGAUAUUUUGGUUUUCCUACUAAAUUAAAGCGCACAGUAGCUUUCAAAGAGUCUUCAUGCUUUUGAAGCUUGUUCAGGAAUCACCACAAUAUUUUUGAAAAUAUUAGACUGUUUUGAAGAUGGUAAAAAGGCAUAUUCACCCUUGAUUUUAUUCAAAAUGCUUUCUUUACCUAUUAACAUCAAAGUUUGAACGCACCCUUAUUAUCUUCAAUGACAAAUCAUUUUUUUUUUCCCCCAUUUUAGAAGUGCCUUUUAAGGAAAAAAGCAAUUAGAAUAAUGCUUUUACAGCUGAGAGGGUGGGAGCUAACAAUUUUUUUCUUCCACAUGAGCAGAAUCCAGUGACAUCAUCUAAUGAUGAAGGACCUGCGAGCCAAAUAUUAUUAGCUGAGCAAGCAAGUUCUGCUGUAAAUACAUCAUCUGUUGCAAGUCAUUCUGUUGGUGAAAUGAUUCAGAACAAUUCUGAUAUUGUCUUGCCUGAAGCAUUCGCCUCGACUGUGCAGACAACUUCAACAACCAUUGCAAAGGCUCCAGAUGCUGCUCUUCUUGAUGAAAGGUCAUUGUUAGCAUGCAUUGUGCGCACUAUUCCAGCUGCUGGACGAAUUCGAAUCAGUUCAACGGUUAGUGUUUGUGGUUUAAGUGUGAACCAUCUAACAUUUUAUGAAAGAUACUGUCUUCCCCUGCUUACCUUAGUGUAAUUUAUUUGGUUUGUGUUUUAAAAACAGCUCCCUAACAGACUGGGCAAAAUGCUUGCACCUCUACAUUGGCAUGAUUACAAAAGAAAAUUUGGGAAGCUGGAAGAUUUUGUAACUAGUCACCCUGAAGUAAGUUUAGAAGUUACCGUUUGGACAGAUAGAAUUUAGUGUAGUGAUAUGCAACUGGAUGUAAUUUGCUAAAAUUUUAGACCAAUCAGCCCGUGUUAUCAAAUAAGGCUCUAUAGUGGCGCUAUAUUGCAUAUAGCGGGGUUUGAACAAACCCUUAUUGUUCUGCGAUACACUUUCUACUACAAAAUAUUGUGAAAUAACGACUAUAGUUGCACUAUAGCAAUGUUGUGUAGCAGAGUUUGAACAAACCACUAUUUUUUUUUACGAUUCACAAUUGACAACACUGAAACUAAAUGCUGAUUGUUGGAUGCAAUGAAGUGGUGGGAUCUGGUCAUCCAUCCAAGACAACUGCAUGCCAAGUUGUCUGUCAAUAUUUUUGGUUGGCUAGCAAUUUUCAUUGAGUUGUCUGCUUGUUCAAUUUCACAUUUUUCACCGGCAACAUAUUUGAUUAGAGGUUGAUGGGUUUUUUCCCCUUAUCAUUUCAGUUAUUUUUGAUUGAGGGUGACUUUAUUCAACUCCGUGACGGGGCACACAAAAUGAUUGCUGCAACCGCUGCUGUUGCAAAAGUUGCUGCAGCUGCCGCAGCAUCAUCUCCUUAUUCUUCAUAUAUGCCUACUGUAGCAGUUACUCCAAUGGCUCAAUCUCACCGCUUAAAGAAAUCUCCUUCAACUGACUCCAAUGGGGCGUGCUUCAGUGUUGCUGGAGGUCUUACGAAUGUUAAAAUUUUGAGUAAACCCAAGGAUUCUCCUGAAAAUAGUUAUGUCCAGCCUUCUGCACAAUUAUCUGUUGGAAACGGGGGAAGUCUUGACAGACUAAGUAUGAUCAGUGCUCAAAAUUCAGUCCCAGUAAAUGGAAGGUUAGUUUCAAACUUCAUUUCUAAACAGCAGACCCAGUUUGACAUUGGCUGCUGAAUGAUAAUAUACAUUGGCUGUUGAAAUGAUAAUAUGGAAUCAUACUUAACUUUUUCUUUAAACAGGUCAACUGCCGCUGCGUACCCUUCUCGAAGAUAGUGAGUCUUCUUACUGACACUUAAGAUGCUAUUUAUGUUCGCUUUGAAUUUUCAUUGAUCUAUUUAUGUUUGCUAGUAUAUAGUUUCUUUUGAAAAAACUGCAUUUGAAUGACUCCGUCGUCACUCCCAGAUUUCUAAUUUAAGAAUACAACAAUACAUGCAUGUGUUUCUGGUAUUUCUGUCUGGGAACAAUCGUGCCGUUUUUUAGAUUUAUCUCAUCUUUUUUUUGGUAGUGAAGAUUUAUCUUAUCUGAACAAAUAUAGUAUUAAUACUUUUUACUGAAUACAAAUUUUCGGCAUUUUGAAUAGCUCAAGCAUAUGUAUCAAUUAUGCCAUGCUUCAUAAUUUCAAUUGCUGUUUAUAUUCAGGGAAGGUGGAGGGGCAUAGGUUAACCUGUGUCGCCAGGUCGAGGAUGGAAACAUAUAUAGUCCUGUUUUACCUGUUUGCGGGAGAAUGUUUUCAAGCAAACUAUGAUUUGAGUUGUCGGCGCUAUCCCCAUAUUCUGCAGUAAUUUAUAUCUCCCCUUCGGUUUUAAUUUAGUGUGCUUCCGAAAAUUUGGGUCUGGUGCUUUGAUAUUUAUGCCUGCAUUGCAUCUUUUGACUGAUUUUUUGUGAAUGCUUGAAAGAUUAAUAUCAAUGAAAUUAUCAUUUUCUAAUUGCCAACGCCCCAUUUGUCCGUUCUCUAUUUCUUGGUAAAUUGGUCUGCCUGUAGCAAGAUCGUAGGAGGCAAGGAUGGAUCAAUUCCAAAAAUUUAUUAGAAGAUUUCUUGCUUAAAAUUCUAUUUAUGUUCUGAAAAAUUAAUGAAUUAUUCAUGUGUGUUUUAAUUGCUGCGUACUUGAGCAUAUUAAAUUAACAACCUCUGGAUGUAAUUUUCACCACAUAAAUUGAUUUAACACUAGAGAAAGUGUGAUCACUCACCAUGAAAAUUGGUUCACCGUGCAAAUUUUGUGUUUUAAUCGCUGCGUAUUUGAUUAUUAACAACCGGCGUGUUAAGAUGGGUUACAAUUUCAAUGAGCAUUUUAAGAGAAUGAAGUUAAAAAUUUGUACAAAUUGUAGUGUAAAAAUCUUUAUCCGGGCGUCUUUAUCGUACUUUUAGUGUAAAAAUCUUUACUCGGGCGCUCUCACAUGCCAACAUUUGUAACAUUCAUGAAUCUCUCCAUGUGAAAAUUACAUAGGAACUAUUUCUCUUUUGUAGAUUGGGAUGAGAUUGAGUCUAUCAAGAUUUAAAGCAGUCACUAUAAUUAAAGAAACACCAAUCAAUUAUAUUGUUGAAGUUAGAUUUCUCUCAAUUUCUCAAAAAAACUAAGACGCCAAUUACAAUUACUUGUUUUUUAUUUUUUUAUUUUCUCUUUGCUUCUUUUGAUUUUCUUUACUAUAAUUUUCAGGCGUAUAAAGAAUAUAGAGCCACAUGUUUUCAAAUUUAUGAUAUUAAUUGGACACCUUAUAGACUGAUUCAAAAGUGAGGUAUUUGGCUAUUAAAAUACAAAGGGUAUAUAUUUGCAUUUUUUAAAAUGAAUGCAAAAAGUAUAAUUGAGCAAAAAUAAAGGAGAUAUUUUUUCUACAAAAAAAAAGGAGAUAUUUUAUGAAUGCAUUUGACCCUUAUUCGUGUCUUUUUAACCACCAUUUUUACUGUUUUUCAAUGAUGUAGAGUUUGUGGUGCCAUUUAAUUUGGGAAAGGAAUGUUAUUUUCCACCAUGGAAAAAUUUAGAUUUAGCCAUUAGAUUAAUGAGGUGUAUUGAUCUUAUCAUGGUCCACCCAUACUUUAUUCAUCCUCUAAGAUCUGGAAUUUUACACAGGAAAUCAACUAAUCUUCCAUGUCCCCACCCACCACCACCAUCACCACCACCAAACAAAAGCUUGCUUCCUUCUUCUAUGUUCUCACGCAGUCAUCAUCACCGUGAACAUUACAAACUCAUAAAACACCAUCAUCAACAACUUGUUAACCCAAACAGAAUUAUUCAAAAAACGCGUUUGUUGUUUUCUAUUUCUGGUUUGUGUUGCCAAAUCUAUUUCCAAAGAAUUUGAUUCUGGAUCCUUUUGAUAAUUUGUUCAUCAUUGUUUUGAUAAAUGACUUUAUGAUAUUUUUUUAUUUUAUUUCAGACUUAGAUCUAGCUGUUGAAAGAUUGAUUUGAGGUUGUGUUGUUUCUAGUUUUUGAUUUUGUUUUGUUUUGGGGAAGAAUCGUCACGGCGCUAACGUGAGGAAGAGGAUAGACGGCGGUCGGCAGUGAUGAUGGAGAGAAGGAGAAGAAUGAGCCUGAUGUGUAGUUGAAAUCAGAAGUAGUUAGUUUCGAUUGUUAAACAGAACACAUACAUGGUUUUGGAAAAUAAGAAAUAGUGAAGAGGAUAGAGUAAAAAGUAUCCACAAUUGUGAAGCCAACGUCGGAAGUAUGGAGGUGAGAGAGGAAGAUACGGCGACGGAAACAGUGGUUGUAAGCGGCAACUGCCAUGGAAGAGGCGUCAGAAGAAUAGAAGAAGAAGAUGAUAAUAGAGGAUGAGUGGUUAUUUCUGGUACUGACAGACCAUAAUAAUAUUAUGUUCCUUGCAUAAUCCAAUAAUCCAAAAAAACUUUCCUAUGGUGGAAAAAAAGUCUCCUUUCCCAAAUUAAAUGGCACGAAAGUUUGUUGGUUCAACACCCAAUCCAAGUGCAAGUAACAAUAACAAUGUUCAUAGUAGUAACUUCCUAAUGUUAAAGAGGGUUACAUCAGUUGAGACAUGAUCUAAAUAAAUGGGGGUAAUCCUCACCUCCGACUUCGGUUGAAAGAUGACCUCGAUAAGUGUUUAUAAGUGGAGUCAAUCCUCACAUCACAAUUCGAUUUUGUCGGAUUGUGUUAGACCUAACUACAAAUUCUAAGACCAAAUGUUGAACAUCAUCUGCCAUUUCUAUACAUAACCAAUGAUUAUACUAAAAAUGUGUAAAUAAUAAGUCGAUCAAAUAUAUUAAAAGCAAAACAACAUCCUUUCAUUGUCUACACCAACAAUCAUAGUUGAAAAGAACUAUCAUAUUUCACUAUGAAAAACACACUUCACUUGAUGCUAAAUCACUCUAAAAAAUUUUGCAUGCCAAAAUGAUGCUGAAAAUUUAUGGUGCAACUUUCAUGUUAAUACACUAUGAACUUGAAUUUUCUUAAUUCAAAAUUAAUUCUUCUAUCAAAUUUAUCUAGGACAAACUUCACAGCAUAAUUUGACAUUGCAGUUUUAUUCCUACCGUGAAUUGUGCACCAUAGAGGUUCUUAGAAAAGUGAGGCAGGUCACAGUGGACAUACUUAAGUUCCAAGUCUUUCCUAUCUUUUCAAAACAAUACUUUCAUUGUAUUACACUUCUUCUUUAUGUGUGAGAGAUCAAACAAUGCUCUAAUAAACAACAUAGAGAAAUUAAGGAACACAAUUACAACACAGAUAUAGCUUGGAAAAUUCUAAAACUGGAGGAAGAAAAAAAAUUGUUGACGAAUAUCAUCUAGAGAAUAACAUUAUGCAAAAAAAUCUACAACAUGUAGACUUGUUUCAAGAACCACACAAUCCUCCGUUCGCCGACACUCUUCAAAACAAAUAUCUAACUACAUCUCUCAAUAUUGUAAUAAAAGAGUGUUAUAGGAUAAAAUAAGAAAAUCAAAUACAAACUUAGAGUAUUUUUUAUUGGUGCAUUCUGUAACAAAAGACUUGUGCUAAUAUAUAUAACUUUGGCCCCCUAUUUCUUAGAUAAUGUGAGACUUAUUUCAAGAUGUUUCAUUUCAAGUUUCAACCAACUCUAUCAAGUGGUAUGGAAUGAAAUUCAUUGUUCUUACAAAUCCAAACACUAAAAUCCAUACUUCGUAUUACUUCAUUACAUCAUAUUCUUCCUAUUCAAAUAAAACUUAAAAGCUUUGUUUGGGAGAGCAUUGAUGAGAGCGGAAGGGAGCAAAAUGGAGCCAGAAACUCAUUGUUUGGGUUAGUGUCUUGUAAGAGUGGGAAAUGACAAGACUUGGAUUAAUAUUUUCUUUAUUUUGACUGUAUUAUUAGAAGAUAGAUGGUUUGGAGAUCUCUUCAACUCUCCCAUCUCCAUCUCUUUAAACCCCUUUCACCCACCUCUCCCACCCUACCACUAUUAAUAGGUGGCAUUUAGGGUGGGAUGGGAAAGAUUUUCCCACCAUGGGAAAGUUGAUUUCUAAUCCUUGGAUCAAAUGAAGAGUAUAGUUUUAUCAUAGUCUCUCACCACUAGAUUUUUUCACACUAUCUCCCACACCCUUUUCUCUCCUCCAUCCCCACUCACCCACCACGAGCAAACCACCACCAAGUCCAUGUGUCCAAAUUCCCAACUCUUUCAAUCUCUCAUCAACUUCAUUUUUUAUGAGAUCAAGUUAUGGAGCUUCAAAAUACGGGAAUCGAAACAAUUCCAUGAUAGUUGUAUUCAAACUAUGGAGCUCAAAGGUAACAAAAAAAAAAAAACUGUGGAGCUUAAAGAAAGAAAGAAAGAAAGAAAAUGAAUGAUGCACUUUCAGAUGAUAUGGGAAUUUAAAUUUAAUUCAUUGAGAUAAUUUCAAAAUUUAAACAAUUCCAUGGUUGUUGUAUCCAAGCUGUGGAGCUUAAAUUUUUUCUUUAGAAAAGUAUGGUGGGACAGUGCUUGCAGUUAGCUGUGAAUUUAAAAUAUUCAAUGUUUGUAGUUAAAUAUACGUGUAGCCGAUAAUGUAUGAAGGGCUCCUUUGAUGUGAAAAAUACACAACUAGGUGUUGGGACGAUGGGGGAUCAACAUGGAGUACCAAUUUUUCAGAUCUGGUGAUUGAAGAAGAUGAUGAAAAAAAUCUGGUAUAGAGAGACUAUGAUAAAAGUGUGUUCUUUAUUUAAUCCAAUGGCUAAAAUCAACUUGCCCAUGGUGGGAAAAUCUUUCCCCUUCCCACCCUAAAUGCCACCCUAUUAAUAACACACUAGCUAGUUUACACAAAUUUUAUUUAUUUUUAUUUUAAAAAACUUAACUGCCCAACUAAACACCAAGUGUUGAUGAGUGAAGAGUUGAGAGUUCGAACCUACGUCCCAACAUAUCAAAUAUUUCUACAAAUUUUUAUCAUUUAAGCUAUAUUCACAAAUCUACUUUGCACGGUUUUAAACAGGUUUAUAAUUUCUUAAAAUGAUCAAUCAUUUAAUUACAACAUAAAUGAAUCAUUUUAAAGUAAAAUGCAUUGAAUUUGUAAGAAAUACAAAAAUAGCAAAUUAUAUAAAAAUGUUGAAGUAAAUAACCAACUUUUUCCAAUGAAAAUAACAUAGUUAUGAAUUAAUAAUUUCGUAUGUUUUUUUAAAACUAAGAUGUCUACCACGAACAACGGCAGAUACUAAAAUGUGACCAAGACUUUUUAAAGAGACUAACAUGUGUUGAACUUUCACAACACAUGUUUUAGAACCCUUAAUCAAAUAGUUAAAGAGACUCAAACUUCUCCCACUUGUGCCACACCAAUGUUGGUAAGGGUAUAGAAAAGCAUAUAAUAAUAUUAUCGAACAAUUGGAUGGGCAUUAUCUUUCUUUUCUGAAGAGCUGAAUGUAUUAUCUUUUGAGAAUCGUUGUUGACACAUAUGCAUUGGCUGUGUCACACUAGCAAUUUACUAAAAUAUUCCUCGGCAGUUAACUGCCGAAUUAUGGAACCGGCUGCAGUUAACUAUCGAGGAAAACUUCGAAAGUAAACUACCAAGUAAAACUGAAAACUUCGGCAGUUAACUGCCGAGGAAACCUGAAACCUGAUUUUUUUUUUUUUGACAAAAACCAUAAAUUGUCAUUAAUAAUAUUUAUUGAUUUUGAAUGUUUUUUUGUACAUUUCAAACAAUUGCAGUAUUAUACUUAUGCAUAUAUAUAUAUAUAUAUAUAUAUAUAUAUAUAUAUAUAUAUAUAUAAAAUUUAAAUCUUGAUCAAAAAAAUAAAAAGCAUUUAAGUCCUCAAAAAAUAUUUCAAUAAGUGUAAAAAUUAAGCAUUUGAAUAUUGUUUUGCAAAUUACUUAAAUAAAAAAAAAUCUUUGUGCACAAUUAUUUUAAUAUAAAAAAUAUAACAACAUAUUAUACCUUAAAAAAAAAUCGUUGUGCACAAUUAUUUUAACGAUUUUUUUUAUUAUUAUUUGUAUUUAAGUAAUGUGCAAAACAAUAAUCAAAUGCUUAAUUUUUACACUUAUUUAAAUGUUAUUCUUAUUAAGCUAUAUACACAUAAGUAUAAUACUGCAAUUGUUUGAAACGUACCAAAAUAAUGAUUGAAACAUUCAAAAUCAAUAAAUAUUAUUAAUGACAAUUUAUGGUUUUUGUCAAAAAAAAAAAAAAAAGGUUUGAGGUUUGCUCGGCAGUUGCCGGAGUUUUUAGUUUUCCUUGGUAGUUUACUGCCGAAGUAAAAAAAAAAUUACAGGGAAAAACCAGAAAUGACCUAUAUUGGAGGUAAAGCACUAUUAACCCUAUCUUUUACUUUACACGCUAGCAUUUUACAUAACGGAAUGAAUAUCAUAACAGGUAGGAAAAAACUAAAAAAACAGCAUUAACAUUGUAGAACUUCGAAAAGAAACUAAAAAUAACAGCUAAUUCAACUAAAAUAAACGUUUCCCAUUUCAAUAUCAAAUAAAAAUAUCAUUGUUAAAGUUUGAAAGACAGUCUCACAUAUAGUAUUUCAGAAGUUGAGAGACAUUUCAUGGUUUUGUAUAUGUCCAGUUUUUCACAAGAUCCAAAUUCAGACUACUCCUAAGACCAACCAGGACUUACGUCUGAUCCAAUUUGGUACUCGAAUGAUUGCAUAUCUGGCAGAUUGUUGUUUCCUGUUUGCAUGCCACGGUUGUUGGUACCAGUAAAGCUAUUCAUGCCUUCAGGAAAAAGUUGAUGUUGGAAGAAAGUUGGUUGCUUAUUGUGCUGCUGCUCAUUCAUCUGGAAAGCAAACUUUGAAGCGGAAAGAUCAGGCUGUUGUAAAGACAUUGUCAAGUGUUGUUGUUGCAGCUGCUGCUGCUCAUUCAUAUCAAAAGCUGAGUUUACAGCAAAGUCUGGUCGUUGCAGUGGCAUUGGUACUUGAUGUUGCUGCUGCAUGCCUUGCCCCUGUGGAACAAUUUUAACAUAAGUGACGAAAUCUUAUAAAUUAUAAUUCAAACCUAGGUUUGCUGGUUAAUCAUUAUCUUAACAACCUGAGAAUGUGUUUGUGCCUGUGGCCUCGCCUGGGGUCCAAAAUCAGCCAGUUUGGCGAGAAAAGUCAGGUUAUGCUGAAGCUUGGCUUGAUAUCUGUAUCAUGUUAAUUGAAUAUGUCAUAAAGAAGCCAGUGUGCAAGCUUGAUUAUUAUUAGCAGAGAUACAAAUUAUGAUAAAGCCAUUAGCCAUAGAUAACAAUUAAGAAGGCAACCACAGCAUAUAGUAAAUAAAUGACACUUGCAACAAACAAACUCAAACUAAAUAACAAAUACAACCAAGGUAGUGUAUGGCAUAUGAAAAGAAUGGAACUUGAUAUCUUUGCUUCCGUUCUAUGCAAUGAAGUCAAAAUGUAUAAGCACUCCGUUUCUUCAAGUCAUGUUUUAUUUUUAACACGUAUCGAACAUUUUCUGUUCUGUUCUAACUUGUCUGCCAAACAUUAGCUUAUAUUUUUCAACCGGAAAGACGAAUAAUUUGGGACAACAUAAAUACUAUUCUGUUUUGUGAAAUGGCGUCAGUAAUUACAAUUUAAUGUAACAGGCUAUAAUAAAAUAUAUGAGAAUCUAGAGCACUUACUUAGGCAACCCAAAUACUUGACAGCGCAAUCAUUUUCAAACAAGUGGAUAUCAGCUCAUGGUGCACAUAUCACAAAAAGAAUAAGAAGAAUAAAUACCAGACAUGUUUUCUAUGGAUUUAACUCUUCUAAAGUGAGAAGUUCAUUUGAAGACAUAGAGUUACCAAUUUAAAUUGUUGAUUGAAUGGGUGAUAAUGUGAUAAAAUACAUAUGCAUUUAUAGCCAAAAUCAUGUAGUAAAAUCUAUCAUCCUCAACAUCAAAGAAAGAAAAAAUCUAUCAUCCUCUUCUUUUCAGAGCACUUAGUUUGAGUACACUACACUUUGUUACAAAAAAUCUAUUUUAGCAUCAGUUUAAGCUACUUCUAAAAUGGUGUUCUUCCUAUAACUCAUAUAAUUUAACUAGGUUAGGACCAGAUAAUUCACCACUGCAAGAAUGAACAAGGUACAAAAGGAUAUAAUGGUUAAAAUGUAAAGAUACAAUAUUUCUACCAUGUGCUUCAUGAUGAUGUAAUUCAUAAUUGCAACCUUUUGUAUUAAAACUUUAGCUUCUAGAUUCAUCAUACAAUUAAAUGUUGGCUGCAUAUGAAUUAUGAAACAUACUACUUUUACACACUUCUUCAUUGAUUCUUUCUUUCACAUUAAUUAAGUUUCAUGUAUCAGAUCACAUUAAUAGUAUUAAGAACCAUAACUUAUAUUCCUUUCUUUUCAAGGGUUAGCAAAGCACAAAUAGCAAUUUGUCAAUUGAACCACAGCUUCAGUAAUAAAUCUGCUAAUGACCAUAUGAAAUGAUACAUAAUCUAUGACAAAAAACAACCAAAAAGGGAUAACAUGUUUAUGUAAAGUAGAGGGUUUCCAAACUAACUACCACAGAGUACUAAAAUGUAUGCAAUAAAAUUCAUCAAUACAAACAAAAUGAUUCAGACCCAUGACAGCAGAAAAGAUAAUGCAACUGAAAUUUAAACCACUUGAUAAUACCUAGAAACAAACAAAAGCAAUACAAAUUAAACACAGUAAAAAAAAAGGCUACUCACGGUCCGAGCUCGCUGUGCUUCCCCUGCUUUUGACCUUCCAGUAUUUUCAUUAUCAACUCCUCAUUCUCCUCCAAGCACUGCACAUGGAUAAACUCAGGUAAGGUAACACAUAAUUACUUCAAUCAAAUCACAUCAAGUAAAUAUUUUUAGAGAUAUCUUAGAAACUAAUCUAAAAAAAUGGCAUCAUUAUGAUAAUUUGAUUGGAUGCACAUGUAAAAAAAAAAAAAAAAAAGUUUUACACUGUCAGUAUAUACAAAUUAAAUCUUAUUUCAAUUAAAGUUCCAAACUUUUCACCAAAAGUGCAUCAUGCAUUCAAUCAAAUUGAUUCACAAAAGUUCAUAUACUGAUGAAUAACAACAUGACCCGGUUUGAAAUAACUUAAUAAAUGAAGUUUAUGCGUACAUUGGAUUCAAUGAUUGUGAAAAAUUUAACGAAAGAGAAAAAAACAAAUUAAUAGCUUAGGGCACAAGGAAAGCAAAAGAAAACAACACCACACACUGUCACACAUGUGUGUGACAUUUUCUUAAACGUGAAUGAGACAAUAAAAAAUGGGUGAUUGAAAAAACGCGAAAGUUUACAUUUUUUUCGAAUCCCAGAAUGAAAAUGAGCGUAAAGAUGAAUCUACAACCUCAAAUUCAACGUAAAGGGAAAAGGGUAAUGAAGAAGAGAAAUUGGUAAAGGAAAAAAGUUGGCACCUUUUGAAUCUGCUCGGUUGUUAACACGGGGAGAGAAGGAUCAGCGUUCAUCAUGAGGUUCUUGAAAAAAAGUUGAGAGUGUGAAACGAAAGUGAAAACACAAAUCAAACGCAAAAACCCUAGCGUUUUUGUUCUUCUUGCACUGAAACUAUUUUUCCGAGUUCAAAUGUGUGCACUUUUCGCUGUUUUAUUCUUUCUGCGUUGGUUUUAAGAGUGAUGCUUACUUGUUUAAAAAAAAAAAAGAAAAAAUAUUGAUGCUUACUUGGCACAAGCCCAAUCAAACUAUUUGGACACACAAAAAAUUAAAAAAUUCAAUUCAAUUAAAUAAUGAGAAACUCAAUUGAUAAAGACAUGGGAUUUAGUUUAUAUUUACAACAAAAUACAUUAAUCAUUCAAUAAAUCUAAAAAGUUUAUUCAUUUGUUAAAUUUUAGGCCUUUGACGCCAUUAAUUGUGUUCUAAUCUAAAAAGUUUAUUCAUUUUAAGUUUAUUCUUGUUCUAAUCUAAAUAUAAGAAGUAUUAUAUUAAUUGUGUUCAAAUAAUAUUGAUUUAAGGUUGUGUUUUUGAAAUAUUUUUCUUGGUUCAAAUUAAGGAUGUCAAUGGGUAUCUAUGGGUACGAGCAGUUGGAUAAAUAUGGUACUUAUACCCGUCUCCAUAUCUGUGCGGGUAAUCCACGGGUAUUUAGAUACCCACGAAUAUUCGCGGAUACUCAUGAAUUUUUUAUUUUACUUUUUUACAAAUAAAAUAUUUUUUAAUUACCUACAAACUUCGACAAUUAAACAUGCAUACAUAAACAUAUUUCACUCAAAUUUCAUAAUCCAUACCAUAAUCCAAAAAGCAACAGUUGAAAUAAAAUCAAAAUACUCAAAUCCAAAUAAACAUCUAAAAUAAAAGCAUAGAAAUCUCCAAAUAAAAUCUCAUAGCAUUCACUAACAAUGUCAUUCACAGCUUAUAUCAAUGUCACCAUCCAUAUCUUUCAAGAUUGAGUUAAAUUUAAUGUUUUCAAACUCUUUCUAUAUCUAUAUAUAGGGGGCAUAUCACACGAGAAUGGGCAACUUAUGUGAGAAUGGUGAGAACACUUAUCAGCCUUUUAGAUAAAAAAUGAAUGGACCAGAUUAAAAGCUUAUCAUGUGUCUCACCCUAUUCAAUCAAUUUUCAUGAAAUAUUCAUCUUCCUCAACAGUAACACCUUCGUCUUCCACCCACCUCAUUUAUGUUAACAUUACUCUUCACCACCAUUAACAUUGACAGCCAAAUCUGAAUGGUUUUUUACGUUCUUUAAUUAAUUUAUUAACGAGUAUUUUAGUAAUUACUCUUUAAUUAACAUUACUCUUCACCACCUUCGUCACACACACACAUGAAUAUUUUAGUAAUUUAAUUAAUUUAUUAACGAGUACGGAUAUCCGCGGGUACAGGUACCAUCAAAUCCGUGUUCAUAAAGUAACGAGUAAUUAAAUACCCAUUUAUUAUACCCACGAGUAUCCGUUUAGCUACCCACCUCGUGCCCAUGAAGGAUUUUAUACGCAGAUAUCCGCGAGCACGAAUUUUUUUUGCCACCCCUAAUUCAAAUAAGUGUUGUAUCUUUAGCAAAUUAAAAUAUUAAAAUACAAUAACAAAAAUAUAACUUAAAAUGUAUAUAAUUUAAAGGGAUGGAGUUUUGUAGAGAUUAUUACAAGAAAGUGAUUCCUUUUUAAAAAAGAAUUAUAAGAAAAUGGUUGUAAUGGUAUGGUUGGUAUCUUUUGAACGUUAUUUUAAUAGGUUUAAAGAACAAAUUCAACCCCAAAAGAGCAGUCAUGAAAUAAUGGUCUGGUCAAACACCACAUAAUUCACACAGCACAAACAAAUAAGAUCUAAUUGCUUAGCCCAACAAGGAAGAAACUAGACAUGGGUACAUCAUAUAAAGGGACAAGGGUGGUGGCAUGGCGAGAAAGUUAUUCCCAACAUCAUCAAAUGGUAAAAAUUCACCAAGGACCAAUGUGAUUAUAUGGUUCCACGUAUCAAGAAAUCCGCUUAACUCUCAUAUAAGCGGCCUCCGUCGUCUAUCACGGGUUUCAAGUACACUAACGUAUAACAUUAACACCUACCUCAGGAUGAUCUUAAUUAAAGCACAUAGAAGUUCAAAUACCCCUCCCUCAUAUAUGACCAUUCAACCCAUCCUACUUACCUUGGUAUAAGAGUGUUUUAAUAGGUACACCUCUCUCAUUUGGAGAAAAAGCGUAUGAGCAGAGGACAUGGUGAUCACCAACAUCAAGACUUGAAGUUUACAUUUCGACCAACAAAAAAAAAAAGACUUGAAGUUUACAUCAUUGGUUCAUGUAAGAUUCCUCGUGUUUAUUCAUACAAGAACACUAGUUGUGCUAUUUAAUAAGAUUAUAUUUUAAAAAUUCAUUUUUUUUUUUUACUGAAAUGUAAUAAAAAUUUAUGAAGAAAAGUAGAAAUUAUAUAUUGUUUGUUUAAGGUGAUGCUUUUAUAUAUUUUUUUCGUAGACUAUAUAUUGUUUUUUAUAAAUAGAUGUUACAAACAAAUAAAAAUUUCUAAAAAUUGUUUUUUCUUUUCUAAACAUGACUAUCUCUAAAUUUGGUACUUUUUCACAAAAACACUCAUCCCUUCUCACACACACGUACACAUAUUUUACAUACAAAUAUGAAGUUAAUUCAUAUGUAUAAUGUAUUGAAAGCAUACAAAUAUUUUACAUUAUCAAUUAAUUACAGAGUUUAGUGUAACAUUGUUUUUGAACGGGGUUUAUAAUACAAUUCAAAACAUAUAUGGUUUUUAGAGCACUUGCUAAAGAUUUAAAAAUGUAAAUAAUUGAUAAUUUUUAUGCACAAAAAAAUUGUUUUUUUAUGUUUCAAUAUGUCGAAUAUACAAAUCUUAAAAUAAACUUUUCAUUCUAAACUUUUUAUCGAGUGUUUCAAAGACACUUGUUAGCAUUUCCCUUGUUUGCUAUUUAUUUACAAUGAAUCUUAAAGAAAUGGUAACAAUCGUUCAAGGUCCAAGGAUAUGUAAAAUGUAAUUUAGAAUUAUUCGAGUUAAAGGUUAAUAAGAAAAGAAAGAAUAAUAAAAGAAUGAACCAAUUCCACCAAUGAUCUCCUAAAUUAACAAGACUAAAUACAACAAACUUGUUUGCACGAUGAUUGUCCUCAUUAUAGACAUGCAAAACUAUAAAAAUUAAUAAUAGAGUAGAUAAACAUACUGAACAAAUUUGACAAUAAACAUUCAUAAUAUAGCAGAUAAGCAUACUGUACAAAUUUUUGUCAUGUAUUUGACGGAUAAUGGACAUCGCAAACAAAAUAAUACGAAAUUUACUACAAUAUAUGAUAUAUAUGAGAGAGUGAGAUAGAGAUAUGAGAAAUUGAGCGAAAUGAGAAAUACAAUAUACAAUAAGGGGGAGAAGAGUGAACCCAUAAGGGAGCUAAGAUAUCGAGGGGAGAUAUAAGAAACACCAUAUCCCUCCAAUCGAGCACCCAAAAAAUAUUCAAGAAUGUCACUAAUAACUCUAUGCUAUGUUAUAGAUCAAUAAUCUCAUAUAGUUAAAUGUUAAUAUUUUUAAAUUAGAAUGAUGUAAGAUUCACAAAGAGAGCUUAAAAAAACUCUUAUUUUCUAUACAACACCCAUUUUUUCUUCUUCUAAAUCAGAGUACCUAUUUGAUAUCAAGUAAUGAAAUUUACUCACCCAAGUUGGUAAGCAAGGUUCUAUUUGGGAGUAUGGAGAGGAGGGGAAUGGAGGGUUGGAAUAUUUAGAAAAAUCUUUUAUAUUUUUCGAAAGAACAAUUUUUUCGAGAAUAAUAAACUAAUGUUUAUUGAUUAAUAUAUUUUUAAUUUUUAAGAAUAUCAUCACAACAUAUAUUAAAUUUGAAAAAUUCAUAUAAACCCUUAAAACCUUCCCCCAAUAUAAUUUUUGAGUUCCUUCAAAUGAGGGAAAUUUUGUAUUAUGGAUAAAAAAAAUUCUAUUUCUUCCACCAACUACCUCAUUUUUUCCAAAACCCUCUCUUCCAAACUCUCAACAAAACUUAAAAGAUAUUCAUCUUUAAACUACUUUUUGAACCAAAAUUUAAUAAAGUAUAAAAUUUUGAAUUUUUGACCAUCCUCUCACCCUAUUUUUGUCCUAUCUCUUAGUCAAUUCUAAAAUGAUACGUGAGAAAAAUAUCUUGUGUGUCCAAAAGCAUCAUUAGCUAAUAAUCUAACCUAAGGCUCUUUAAGCAGUGAGUUUUUAGUUUAAUGCAGGUGCUGAUUUGCAUUUUUUUUGAUUAAAUAUGUUUUUGGUCCUUAUAAAUAGACCAACUUUUCGUUUUAGUCUCUCUAAAAUUUUCCUUCAACUUUUAGUCCCUUAAAAAUUUUCCAUCUUCACUUUUGGUCCCUCUUUUAAAGUAAACUGAUAUGUAGAAUUCAUAUUUUUGAAUCAAAUUUUCUAGAAAAAUUCAUAAUAUUAUAAGAAUCUCUCCCAAAAAAAAUUAGAAAUUUUAACAAAACAUGAAUUUAAUAUGAAUUUUUAUAUUUUUUUUAUGGUUAAAAAUUCAUAUUUAAUGUAUGUUUACUUAAAAAAUUCUAAAUUUUUUUGGGAAAUGUUUUUACAAUAUUCUACACAUUUCUGUACAAUUUCAUUAAAAAAAUAUUUAAAUUUACUUUAAAAUAGGGACCAAAAGUAGUGAUUCAAAAUUUUAUAGGACUAAAAGUUGAAGGAAAAUUUUAGAGGAACUAAAACAAAAAGUUGGUAUAUUUAUAGGAACCAAAAAUAUAUUUAACCUUUUUUUUGACACAAUAGUACAUGUGCAUUCUUGUUUUAAAAUAUUAUAGUUUUUUUUUUUUAGGAAAAAUAUUUAUAGUUAUUUUGCAGAUAUUUUGAAAAGUUAACUUAAAAAAUUUACUGUAAGUCUCAUAAGUUCUAGUUCAACUGAUAAAAGUACCGAAAUUGUUAGGCCGAACGUAUGAUCGGAGUUUGAACCCCGAUAGCUACACUUUGUAUUGUGAGUUUAUAUGACUUUGUUAUCUCGUCUAUCUAAAAACAAUAAAUAGUGUAAAAGAAUUAAAAUUAAAGAGGAAGGACACAAAAACGACGUCGCUGCAAGAAAGGGCGAAUGUAGGCACGCGCGUUCGGCACUGUAGUUUUUUGAGACAUCGUUUUUUUUUUUGCGCAGCAUCGUGAGAAGAAGAAAGGGGUUAACGCAUUUUCCUGUAAUCAAUCAAUCUCGAGAGAAAGAAAAUGGGGUACGUGCUUCGAGUGAGAUUAGCUUCGUUCUUCGCCGGUGCUGCAACGGCGUCGUUCGCUGGUCUCUACAUCCUUCAUAGGGAUUACAAGCUUGCUCACCAAUCCCAUACUCAACAGGUAUUUUCCAACAUUCUUCCACAAGAUUCAUGUUACUUAAUCACGUCGAUUAACAUAUUUAUUAAUUGAAACAUGCAGUGAUUAGAUUAGAUUAAGAUGAUUUAGCUUUUGGAUUUUUGGUUAGAAAUAGGAACAUAACUGAUGCGAUUAUGAUAAUCAUUUUUUUAGUCGAAUAAUUGUUUUUCUAGGGAACAUUCCUUAAGGCUUUGUUUGCGAGUUUGUAGGGGAAGGUAAGAGAGGGCUUUGGGUGGUGAAGGAGAGUAGGGGAAAUAGAGAAAUAUUUCACAUUUUUUUGAAAGAGUGCUUUUGCAGAGAAUGAUAAAUGAAUGUUUAUCAUUCAUAUAUUUUUAAUUUUGAGAGUAUUAUAACAACAUAGAUUACAAGAAUUUAUCUAAACCCUCCAAAACCUUACUUCUAUAUAAUUUUUGAGCUCCCUGAUUUUGAGGGGAUUUUGUGUUAUGAAGAAAAACAAACCCCCAUUCAUGUUGGGAGCCUAUCAUUUUCCCUUCCUCCUUCCCUCCAAACUCGUAAACAGAGCCUAAGAAGUUAGCUAUCCAGUGGGAAGAUCAUUAAAUGCCUUCCAUCCCAUACCACUCGAUGUGUGAUUUGGGCACCCCGUCAUACCUAAGUUCCUAUCACUAUGGUAAACCAAAAUUUGAUAGAUCAUUCUUCUCUUUCCUACUUUAUACAUCCAAAACAUAAUUGUCAUAUGCAUUUUUUUUUUUAUUUUUUUUUGAGCUUGCCUUUAAUUUGAGCAGUAUCUUUAAGACUGUUGCUUCUAGUUCCCUCUUUGUUGUAUAUAUAUUGCUCUUGAAAUUGUUAUGCUUCUCCCUUUCCAUUUUCAAAUAGUGCAUGGUCUCAUAAAAUUCCUUAUCUUUAAGACUUGUUUUGCUCAUUGCAAAAUCUUCUCUUAUCAUCUACUGCAUUUAUUUUAUUUCCUUAAUUUGGACCCGGCGAUUUUGUUUCUCACCUUCUUGGAUAUACGGUAAUUGGUCUUAUUUUUGUUGACUUUUAUAAAACUUGUAUUGUUUGUUAGACAAACAAAAUAGUCAAAGUUUUCAUGAAAGGUGUUUCUUUGGAACUUUUCAUUCGGGAUGAUUCUAUUCUAGAUAAAUAAUACAAAUAUCCUUUUCUUAUAGUCUUAGGGUGUGAGCGUUUCAGUUGUUGUUAUCGAUGUACAUUUCUAGUCAUGCAUGGGAGUUUAGCUUGAGUGCAAAAUGCAUUGAGAGCUUCUAACAAGCUUAAUGAUUUUCUGUCAUCUCCUAAUGAAUGUGGUCUUUCAUUGUCAAAUAAAGGGAAUCCAGUUGGUGUCCCCACCCCCCUAAUUAUUUCUAAUUCACACCACAAAAAAUAUUAUACAACAAAACAUUAUGUUUUACAUACAACUUUUGGGAUAGUAAUCUUCACUUCAGUCCUAUUUGGGGAUAGUGCAUUAUUAACACUUCUGUAAUAAUCUUUUUUCUUUCUACUCUCUUGUGUGGAAUUCAUGAUUCACAGUUAGUUGCUUGUUUGAAAUUAACCUUAAUCACAUUACCAUGUGGAAAAUGAUGGCAUCAACUCCUUCCUCACUUGUCUUAGCUGCAUAAUUCUCGUCACACUUAAUGCUAUUGAAACAUGUGUGUAUAGUGUAUUGAUUUGCACGUAAAGUUGAUUUGGAAAAAGGUAGGAGACAUCACCCCCUAAAAUCAAGAGUAUUGAAGGGAUGGGAGGAAUCAAGCAUACAUUGGUUGAGAGGAUGAAAAAAUAGAUUCAUGAUUGUGAGGCGAAAAGUUUGGAGACAUGACCGUUUCCAGAGAUGGCCUUGUUGCAACAAUAGGAAUUUUUUUGGAUAUUCAAUUAGGUGUGUAGCAACUAGCAACCAAGAAUCCUGCUCUGAGAAAACAAGAUUGAAAUUCCCAAUCUUGACGGCAGUUGUUUUUUGCUGGAACCAAAUAUAAACUCUUUCUGGUGCAUUAAACAAACACAAACCCUUUUUGAGAAGAUGCUGAAAGAACUUCAUACUAUGGCGAACUUGAAACAUAAUGUAGCCCAGUUUUGAUUAUCUUCUAGAUUAUAGGACUUCUUUAUAAAAUAAUUUAUGGUUCUUCAUUUACGGAAAAGUUCUUAUACAAGCUUUGGUUCAAGCAGUAGCUGCCUUAGAGAUCCAGGUUUUAUGGACUAUAGCUGCACCACUAACCCCACUGCCAUUGAAGCCACCAGCCACUGGCUGACAUAUUGUUGUGGCUAACAGGUUGGCAUUAGCAAACUGCCACAGGUGUGUAAGAUAGGAACACAUCUUAGGCUCUGUUUAAGAGUUUGGAGGGGAGGGAACAGGAGGAAUUUGGGGGGAGGGGAGGGGAGGAGAGGAAAAGGGAGAAAUCUUUCGCCUUAUUGAGAGAGUGUUUUGUAGAGAAUGAGAAGAAAAUGCUUAUAAUUAAUAUAUCUUUAAUUUUGAGAGUAUUAUAAAAUCAUUGAAAGAAUUUGAAGAAUUUAUUUAAGCUCUCAAAAAUCCUCCUCCAAUACAUUUUUUGAGUUCCUCCAUUUUGUAUCAUUCCUCCAUCUUUCCUUUCCUCCUCCCCUUUUCCGAAAGUCCUCCCCUCCUAAACUCCCAAACAUAGCCUUAGUGGCAACGGUGGUUUGGUUCUGGAGAGGGAGAUAAAUGGAGGGGCAGAAUUAGCAUUAGCAUCCUGCAAAGUGGAUCUGAUUCCCAAUGGGCUGGCCCCAAAUUGGUGUCAUUAUUUAGGUUCAUGUACACAGAGAUGCGCAUUGCAAAUCUGUCAACUGUGGUUAAUAUUUAAACUUGCCAAGCUGAAGCCUAUAGGCAAAUGGACUACAAUUAGGAAACAGGAGAUGGUUUCUAUUUCUUCCUAAAGCUGAAUAUUGCAUUGGCUCCUGAGCAUCAGCUCCCAAUCAUAGAUCCCACAAUCAAAUAUCUCUCAAUCAAAGGUCCCUCAAAGCAGGGGAGGAGCUAGGACUGAGUGAUGGGAGGGCCCAAUAUAAUUCAAGAAAAAAAAUAAAAAACAAUGAAGGGUAGAGAAAGAAAUGGAGGCACACCUAAUCCUUGCAAUUGAAGAUAAUAAGUAUGAGUUUUCUAAAGACAUUUGAAAUUGAAACGGGGUAAAUUGAGUGUUAGACAAAACUAAGGAAUACAACUAACUGAAGGAAGAAGUUCGAAGUUGGAAAGGGAAAUUAGGGCAUUAAAUUGGUAGUCUAGUCUUAUUGUCUAUGCAUCUAAUUAUUUCUUUAAUAGACUAUGCUUUUAAGAGCAGUAAGACAUUAGAGAAAGUUUUCAGCACUGACACGUCUUGGAUACAUGUUUCCCAAGACAAUAACAUGAUCUUGUGUGGUGGCAAAACUUUAUCUGUACGGCCUAGCACAACCGGUAAUACCGACUUUGUUAGGACGGAUAUCUUCGGUGGUAUCCCGGGUUCAAGCCUGGGAUCUUCCACUUUGUAUGUGAGUUUAUAGUGGUGUUUGACACUUCGUCUAUAGACCAGCAAAAAUGUUUUGGUCUCUAUUUAUUCUCUGAUAUAUGUAUGUACUAUUUUUAUUUUCAAGCUUUUAUUCCACAGUGAGUCGCUGCUCCAUUUCCACUUUGGCUGUUCAAAAAACAGCAGGGGCCAGGCCCCCAAGGAUCAUCCAACAUCUCCUCUCCCCCUGCCCCAAAAGACUUGAGCAAAAAAUUUCCUUAGGGAUUGCAUGAUUGCAUCAGGUCCCAUAUUCAAUUUUAUUGUAUUAUAUUUCAGCAAACACUCGGGUAGGGAGAUUAUUGCCAAAUUGAUAGCUAUUGGAACAACUUGUGUGUAUUCACCCAGUCCAAUUCAAGGUUGGACCUCAUUGGGGCCAACCAAAAGCACAACUGGCCCUACCCAGAAUUUAGACAGUAAAGCGAUGGUAGUGAGUUAAACUGGUUGUUGAAGGGAUGAAGAGGAGGGGCACUGUACUGGGUAAUUUUGGAGAAUUAGUUAGGGUAAUUAGUUGAGGAUAUUUGAUUGAAUAAAUAGGGGGAAAUAGUAAAAAGGAAACAUGAAGAUUUGUUAAUUCGGAAAAAUACAGCAGUGGUUCAGUUCCAAAAGGGAAAAACCUUUGAAGGAGAAUUGUAUUUCUUAUUUUCAAUAAUCAAUAAGUAAAAUUGUUCCUUUGUUAAGACCAAAAAAAAAAGAAAAAAAUAUUCCUUUGUGUUCGUUUUUGUUUCUAUAAUUUCCAUUUGCAUGGCACAAUGUCAAAGCUUGCUCUGUGUAGUUGCGACUAACUUAGAAUUAGGCAUGCAUCAAUCUAUCUGAACCGUGAAAUAUGUCUUCAAUCCUUCAUUUUCUUCACUAUUAGCAACUGUCUCUUUGAUCCUUCCUUUUCUUGCAUGGAGGGAAUGAGUGAGCUUUGUUUGAAGAGUUUGUGUGGUGCUUCAUUUGAGUACUGAACUUUCUUUUCUUCUGCAGGUAAAUGGUCUCUACGAAUCACUAGACAGUCGAAUUUCUUCCCUGGAAAAACUGAAACAAACUGAAACUUCACAAUAGGCGGAAGCUGGAAGUUCUAUUUCACUCAUUUUAUGGCAUCUUAGCUUCCUCAACUUGUCACCAUAAAGUCUUCGGAUCAGUUCUGUAUCCGGAUGUAUUUUGGAUUUUUUUUUUUUGAACAAAUGUAUUUUGGAUUAUUAUUUUAGCUAAGUGAAUUUAUAGCUUUUAUCGCCAUUGCAUUUGGUGAUUAAUGAACAUUUGGGAUGGGAGACAUUUGCUAUCUAUAUUUGAAGCUGGGAAUUGCGUUUCUAUUUAGUUACUGCAAAUGGUUUGGAAAUAAAACGAUUACUUCAACACACAAUAUUUAGCUAUGAUAAAAACUAUCAACUAACCAAAAUUGCAUAUUAAGGUAAAGUAGAGCAGAUUAGUUUCAUUGUUAUUCGAAAUUUUCAAUUAAAAUGUUUUAUGGUUUUUUAAUUACGAAACGAGUCCAAAAAUAUUUCUGAAAUUGAAUUAGAAAGCUCUCAAUAAUUUGAGAUAUAAAUACCAAUUUCUGAUCGUCAGCCUUAAUUGACGACGACGAGUUAAACCCUGUAUACGAUUUCGGCUGAAAACAAAUUGAAUGCAAUUCCCUCACUGUCCGGAAACUUAGAUAAACAAAAGGUUUAGAGAAUAAAAGAAAGAAAAGAAAAAUCAAUAGUGCUAUAUUUGCAUUAAGAUAAUCACAUCAAAUCACAUCACAUAAGAAAGAAAUAAACAAUGUACGAUGACUAAUAUUGGGUAAGAAGUUCUUAAAAACGGGGGAAUACAAAUCUUGAUUACUACCAUAGAAAAGAAAACAUUGAUAAUAUCCUAUAUGCUAGUCCAAUUGUCUUUGUUGCAAGUCAUGCACCUACUUUUUAUUCAUCUUCAUGCUUGAGAGUCUUUUAGAGUCAGCAGCGACAAUAGGGCUAGGGUAUAUAUUGCGACUUCCAUAAACACGACCUUCAAAUUCUGCUUUCACUAUUUUAUUGAUGUAACUUUCUUUGAAACACUUUGCACAUAUAUUAGUGACCCCGACAGAAUCAAUGACGCCACAUCCUUUAUUACUGCAAAUUGAUGGAAUAAUUGGAGUUGCAACCAUGUUGUUUCACGGAUUGGUUCAAGAAAAAAAGAGAAAAAGAGUAUGAUUUUGCGUAACAAAUAAAUUGUAUAAUUUGUUGAAAAUAAUUAAAUCAAAUCAUAAAUUAACAAAACAAAAUAUACCGAUUCGAGUAUCUUGUCCUUAAAAUUUGGGAUUGUAUCAACAAAUAAACUAAUUAGGAAAAAAAAAAUUGGGAUAGGAUCAAAUUAAAUAACAACAAGGUGUCACUACUAAAUAUUCUUUUGGACCCCAUUUUAUCAAACCAACGAUAAUAGUUUCCUUUUUCAAAAUCAAAAUUUGUAGGUGAGGUCUACAUUAUCCUCUCUUGUUCAGGGAGUAUUUACCAUUUCAAGAUAUCAACCAAUCAAAAUGCAAUAUACAAAUUUAACAUUAAAUGUCAAAUAAAUGAGUCAAUUUUUCUAUAAAAAAAAAAUCAAUUUUAAUAAGAUAACUUUUAAUUUUGGAUUAAAUAUGUUUUUGGUCCUUACAAAUAUAUCAACUUUUCGUUUUAAUCCCUCUAAAAUUUUCCUUCAACUUUUAGUCCCUAUAAAACUUUCAAUCGCUACUUUUGGUCCCUCUUUUAAAGUAGGGUCUAACCGGUGUCCCCGGGGCACUGGUUAAGGAAUCUAUUAAUAGAAUUUUCUGUCUUGGAAAUAUAAACCGUCACUUUUUAUUAAGUAAUAAUUACAUUACUUUUUAAUAAAAACUUACUUCAUUUGGUGUGUAACCAAUGCCCCGGAGGCACCGGUUAACAUUCCCCUUUAAAGUAAACUCAUAUGUGAGUCCAUAUUUUUGAAUAAAAAAUUUCUGAAAAAUUCAUAAUAUUAUAAGAAUCUCUCCUUAAAAAAAUUAGAAUAUUUUUAUCAAAACAUGAAUUUAAUAUGAAUUUUUAUAUUUAUUACGGUUAAAAAUUCAUAUUAAAUUUGUGUUUUGUUAAAACAUUCUAACUUUUUUUGUGAAUUUUUUUACAAUAUUCUACACAUUUCUGCACAAUUUCAUUAAAAAAUACAAAAUUUAUAACUUAAAAAUAGGGACUAAAAGUUGAAGGAAAAUUUUAGAGGGACUAAAACGAAAAGUUGGUAUAUUUAUAGGGACCAAAAACAUAUUUAACCCUUUAAUUUUUAUUUAAUUAUAUUUAGGUAUACAAUCUUAAUUAAUUUACAUUAUAGGGCUUGUAACAAUUAAAAUUUCACAUCAAAUUCAACCCAUCAUAUACGUUCAUAAAUUUUGUUUCAUUCCAAAACCUAGAACAUGCAUAACGUGCAAUUUCCUCUUCAUUUUUCUUCUCAUCUUGAUUGUUCAAUUCUCUCGUUCCAGAAUUGCCGUUGUUUCCAAUUAUCGUGAGAAUCAUUGCCGUCCGUUUGAUUCCAGACAUCGUGAGAUCGGCAUUGUUUCCAAAAGAUAUAUCCAAGAAUUAAUGCUCACCUUGUGAAAUUCAUGUUUGUAUUAACAUUAUUUAUUUAUUUAUUUAUUUCACUUUGUCUUAUCUUCCAUAGCUUUAACCGACCUCACACCGUGUUCACAAUCUCAACAAAUGUUCAUUUCUGCAACACAAAAUACACCAGGAAAAAAAACAACAUAACAACACAAUAUAAUGAUUUGAAUAAAACAAAUUCCAAAAGUAAAUUUAAUAAUCAAUAUUGUACCAAAAAUAAAAUUAAUAAUCAACACAUUGAAGAUCCAUUUAUCUUAAUCAAACUCAAAAUAUGUGUGAUAAAAUACAAUUUUAUAUAAUCUCAAACAACUCAAUCAAACUCAAAACCCAAAUAAAAAUGGAAGCAUCAUUGAAAUUCAUGCCAAAGUUGAAAGUCACCACUGUCGCAUUACAAGUGUGAAACGGUUGCAAUCAAGUCACGAUAGUAGUGAGAAAGAAACGAAAAUGAAAAAUCAAAUCUAGAAGAAAAAUCAAGUCAUCAUACCUGAUGUGAUUAUGGAAACAACACCGAUUCUCACAAUGUUUGGAAUCAAAAGGACGACAACGAUUCUCACGAUAAUUGAAAACGACGAUAAUUAUGAAACGAGAGAAUUGAACAAUCAAGAAGGGAAGAAGAAUGAAGAAGAAAUUGCACGUUAUGUGUGUUCUAGGUUUUGGAAUGAAAUAAAAUUUAGAGAAUUGUUGUUU